UUUGUGUUCCUUGUGUUGACUGAAAGUUGUUUUGCUAUUUUACCAGAACCAGCACCAGAGCAUCUGGCAUUCUCACGGUUUGUGGAGGUACCUGACUGUAGGUUAGAAUAUUUUCCCCACCAGAUGCCUCAAUGUGAUAUUUUCUUUGCUUGUGUAGGGAACUUCAGGACCGCCAUAUAGUGCUGGUUCUACUUCCUCUCGUUCAGAUGGCAGUGAAUAUGAGUCUACAUCUAGAAGUCAUGCUUCUGCGCACCGCAACUUCUCAAGCCGCCGUUCUUUCAUGUCAAAGCCCAUUCACCCUGUCUCUUUCCCAGACAAUACACUUGGUUGUGAAGAAGGCCAUGAUUCUGCUUCUACCACACACUCCAACAACAGUCAUCAUUCCGAUUUUAGGUCCAUACGAGCACUCGCAGAGCUUCAGUCUCCUGGUUUCUUUGAAAAUGUGGGCAACCCUCAAAAAGAAUCAGCGCAAUGGAGUAGUGCUGGCAGCUCGGACUUUACUGAUGUUUCUGAACCAUUGGAACCUGAUCCUUUGGAUCCUUCAUGCAACAAUACAUAUGAAGGUGCCAAAUGUGGACUCUGUGAGAGGUUACUAUCACAGAGGUCACCAUGGGGUUCCCGCCGUAUUGUUCGUAGUGGAGAUAUGCCAAUAGCUGGUGUUCUGUCAUGUUGGCAUGUCUAUCAUGCUGAAUGCCUAGAGCGUGCUACCCCUAAGAUGCAGAAACAUGACCCACCUUGCCCGCUGUGUGAGAAGUCAGAGGAGAACGUUUCAGAGCAGUGGGUACACUGCAGGUUAAAAAAUGGGCUCCCAAGGUUAAUGUCACUUGGGGAGGAAGGACCUUCGUCAAGAGCUUGGAGCUGUGUGAAGGCAGGAGAUUGUGUAGAAGGGGCUCUCCAUGCCCCAAAACGGGGUAGCAUGAUGUUAUUGAGCCGGAGCCGCCUCAAGCGGAAUCUGUCAUUGAAGGGAAAUUUGGCCAAUGAGCGGGCUGAGAACUCGAAGAAGAGCGGGUUUUGUUCGCCGCAGAUGCUCCAUGGACAUGUAUUUGGGGAUCAAGGUGCAGUUGGGUGCUCGACAGUGGCAUCUGGUCCGGCAUUAAAAAGGUGAUGAGGCCUCUCUAGGUAAGAACUCAAAUAUGAUUUCACUAGAGUCCUAAUGUAAUUUUGGUUCUGGUUGUGUCCUAUUGGGAGUUGUUAGUUGAUGAAAUGGGAUUGUGUACGAAGUAAAUUAUUGUUGGGAUGAUGGAUGCUGUCAAUCAGGGAAUCCAUGCUUGCUUCCACAUACUGAAUUUGUUGCUAAUGCUGUGAAACUUGCAAUCCAUUACUUGAGACCAUGUCCUCACGAGCAUGUUGCCUGCUUGCAUGGAUUCAUACAUGCAUUUAUGUCUUUCAAUUUCAGAAUGUCAAUACUUGCGCAUAUUUAUGGGUUUUUUUUUUGUUUUUUGCAUCCCUUUGUUCUUGUAUUCUUUAUAGUAAAUCUAGAUAACAGGGAAUUCCUUCAGUUGUCAUUCUGUUAGUGCGUAUUGAAUAUUGGAUGAAAGCUUUAUGCAUUGCUGAAAUGAAUUACCAAGAUAAUCUGGCCUUUAUGCCUGUUUAACUUUUAGCAAUUGCAGUAUUUUAUAGGUGCAACUGUAUGUUUUGUAAUAUACUAGAAAGUGCCUCGCAGUUGUUAAGCAGGCUUCACAGCUGUUGCUUCUGUAAUCAAGGCUAACAUGAUAUGCUAGCUUUAAGAAAUUAAAGCAGUGCCAUCUAAACCACCAUCAUGUUACCUUCACCUGGGUCCCUGUACAUUUUCCUUGCAUCAAUAUGUUCUGCUGGAGUGACUGGGGCAACAACUGCAUGUCUUUUAUAAGGAUUGCUUGAUGUUAAAUUUUUUACGUUUGUCUUCUAAGGGGUUUCACCUGGGAUGAGCUACACAAUCUUCAGCUUUUUAUGAUCAGGCCAUGUGAAGAGAGGGGCCCCCACCCAGUUACAUUCCAUCUGGAGCUGCCCCAUAGCUCACAGGAAACAACUACAGCACCCUAUAUAUGUUUCCAUCCCUUAGCUACCACUAGCAAAGAACUUUCAUGACAUCUAGGUCUUUAAAAUUCGAUCUCAUGCUAUUGAAAGCUGGCCUCAACUGCCUCAUGCACUGCUGAUUUCAUUGUGGACCAAUGCCUUGAUUUCAUUGUUGCCACAAAAAGACACCAUGCACGACUGGGAGGCUUUUGGAACCUCGCUAAUGUCAAUAGUUUCUGGGUGCAUACCGAUGUGGCCCUGUCGACAAUGCAGUAAUUGAGAGACUGUUUAGGGUGUCGUAUUAACUAAAAUCACUUUUAGUUGUCUCAUUCUCUGUCGUUGGACUGUGUUUCGUUCCUUAAAAUAAUAUCAUAUAUAUAUAGCUAGAUGCAAUUAAUUAGAAGGGGAUAUCUGCUGCUGCUAGCAGCUGCUAAUCUUCUGCAUUUAGAGCAUGUUGAUCUUGAAUUGGCAAUUCAUGAUCCAACCGACAUGCUGAUCUUCUAUUGUGUGAUAUGUAUUCUUCUUGCAUUUUCUGAUGUUCUUCUCACUGGGCAUGACUGGCUGCUCUCCAGACUAAACAUGAAAUUUGAUGCAUUUAAUCGUUGCUAGUUUCAAAAGCAAUGUGUUGAACAAAAUGAUGGUAAUAUCUUGUGAAGCAUUUCAUUUUAGGUGAUGGAUGACAGACAUGCCCUGCACUUCUUCUUUGAAUGCAUGGAACUCUCCAAUCUUUUCGCUCAAUAAUUUGCUGUACUCGAUCAAUGCUUGUGAGUGUUCUCGUCAUCGGUCGUGCUUGUCGGUUAAUUGAGAGUUUGUUUAAUUGAGAACGAAAGAAAAAUGAGGCCCAAAAUCCAUUAUCAUGUGGAUGAGUCAUUUUUCCAUUGCAUCUUGUCAUGGUGUAGGCUAGCAAUUGGUGCAUGUGGAUCCUACUCUUGCUUUUUUAGGUAUAAUAUCUCAUAAGAAAAGAGAAUUGGAGUUUCAUUUUGAAGAUCAGAAAACAGGGUUUUGGUAUGCAAAGGGAUUGUCAUAUCCUCCGUCCUUGCAAAAUUUCAAAUCGGAAAUGCCCAUACAAACAGAUCCUUCUGCUAAUUGAUUUGAAGAGCAUUAGUGCAGAUUCCUUUUAGUUUGGCAUUCCCUCAAUAUGCUUGAAUGUCUAAAAUCGAUGGCAUAAAGAAAAGUUCACCUUUCAUUUAGUUUUGUCGGAGCCCCUCAUCUCCUCGGACACUAUGGAAAGUUGAAUCUAUCUUCAAGUAAAUAAUUGCUAGUUCCUUAGUUAUUUGAUUACCAGAACUUUUGAAGAUUCGCGGGGCUCUUCAAUUUUAGGCUUGGAAAGAAAUGCAUUUUUGCUGUCAAGGCCGUCAUUAUUUGAGUCCAUGAUCCUGGUUUAUAGAAAAAAAAUAUUAGAGAGCAACGAAAUAAUAUCUUGUGGGAUUUCGAUCAAUACCAUGCACAUGCAACACUAGGUUUGAUAGAUAUGUGAAAGAAAUUCUGAGCACAUAGCGAAGAAAAUAACAUGGGAGUUGGAGGUCAGGCCUCAGGUUUCAUAAGUUUUGACUAGAAUUUCUAUGAACUUUUGAUGAACAUGUUACAAUUGAAUCAACGAUUUAUUUGCAUUUGAUAUGUUCAGAUUUUAGUGUCUCAUAUUACCUAGCAUGUGAUAGUUCAUCAAAUGGCAGCUCAAUUUUUACUUUUGAAAAGGGGAGGGGAGGGAAGUAACACAUUUGAAAAGGAGCCUAGGGCAGUAAGAGACACAUUAUUCCCUUUGUCUCCUAAUUACAUGGAUCAAAAUGGCAUUUCUAGUGGAAGCUUGUAAAGCUUUUGAUGAGGCUGAAUUCAAAUGUAGCCCCCACUCAAUUUCACCUAACCAAAUGGUCUUGAAGGAGUCAAGUGUUGAUUCUUCCUGUCGAGGUUGUGUGAAGAGACACCAAUCAAAAUAACCCAAACAACAUUCACUAGUUUGGCUUAAUGCUUCUUCACUAGUCUAAUCUCAUAUGCCCCCAUUACUUGUGAGAAAUCAUUCAAGUGCAUCCUUUAAAACACCGAGAAUGUGUUGAAUUAACCCCACCAAUCAUGCCACUAGAGGGCAAAGUGCCUCUAGGAAAAGUUCAUUUCGAGCAUGAAGAGAGAUGCCUCAUAGCACUGAAGGGCAAAAAUUUUCUGGGCUCCAGAGGGCUGUAGUGGUGUUUCUUAAUUAAAACAAUGCUGCAACAAGCUUGCACAACAUGUAGACCUUUUUUUUUGCACAUCUGGCUUUCUGACCUUUUCUAUUCUUGGGGUAUUUGAAUGGUAUUUCACCUUCAUUUUCCUCAUGGGCAUAAUAAUAUUCCUCAACCACACUGACAUUAAACUACACCAUGCAAAGUUAGGUAAUAAUAACAAUCUUAAACUGAUACAAAAGUUUUCNNNNNNNNNNNNNNNNNNNNNNNNNNNNNNNNNNNNNNNNNNNNNNNNNNNNNNNNNNNNNNNNNNNNNNUGAAAUUUACAUUUGUAUGUUCCGAUAUAACAUUUGUAUUAGUUGUGGCAAUGCCUCCCUUUUCAUCAAAAAAAAAGAAGGGAAAGAAACAUUUGUAUUAGUUUAAUCUUACCUCUCACAGACAGAUUAAACUAUUACAAAGUUUGUGAAGGAACAUACAUUUUUUUUAAAAAAAAUCUCUUAUAAUUGGAACAAAACCAUAAAGAAUGCUCUAGUUGCUAAAUGCUCCUUCUGUGAGCUGCAUGUCUGUAAAGACUUAACCAAGAUUUAGAACUAACGAGGACGGCCUUGUAAUUUUCUUUAACUCAGAUGAGAACUUGCAAUGAAUGAUGAUGAGCCACAAAUUCCAUGCAGAUAGGCUAUAGAAUUUUGAGUAAUAUAACAAAUUGUAGCUUCUUUUGUUUAAGAUAAAAAGGACACUCAUGAGUCUUCCUUUUUGACAAGAAGAAAAAGUUUACAUAAUGAUUAAGGAGUUGAAAUCGGACUAACCUGGGAUUGGCCCCAGAGCACUGCAGGACACACACAAAAGUUAUGCUUAGUUAUAACUGUCCACUAUGGGAUAUGAUUUCUCAAAUUAACCUUUCAGAUAAGAAAUAGGAAUAUAAUCCUCACAACAGUAAAAGGAUAUGGAGUAAGGGACCCAAAAUCUGCUGCACAAUUCAAGCUGAGAUCAUCUGAAAUCUUAAGUAACUGCCCACACUAAAUCAUAAAGCAAAAAAGAUAACAAAUAAGAAAUGGUAAAAGAAAAAAAGGGGGGGAGGUGGUUAGUUGGUUAUUGACAGUUGAAGAAUUAUCUACUAAUUCUGUAAGGCAUAAAGUUGUAUUAGUUCAAUAGAUAUGCCUUUUGAAUGAUUAAAUGUUCCCCCAUGACCCCAAAAGCUUCCAGCUUUUGGUUGACCAAUUGCAUGCCCAUAAUCCCAUUUUAAGGAUGAAAGGGAAAAGAUGUUAAAAAAGAAAUCCUUUCAUCCAUUGAGCAUCUGGUACUGAUGGCCCAAGCUUGUAGAACUUAUAAUAUACUCUUAACAUUGUGAUUUUACAUCCUAUCAGAAAUAAUUAAACUAUUGAUGCUCCUACAAAUUUGGGAAUGGAUCAAUCUAGCAACAUGUGGUUCUUCGAAAGCUAUGUCAAUAAGAAUGCUUGCUGCAAACAAAGCUCCCCUUCUUAAACUUAGAUCGCCAUCUAUCUAAAACAUUACUUCAUUUUUUUUUUUGUUUAAGGGCAGCAUUCCAGUGUUAUAUGAGGUAAGGUGAACUGCCAUCGGAAUUUUCUAGUCUAUAAUACCGAAAAACAGUUCUCAUUGAAUCACUUCUAUGAUCUUAAUUGCAGAUCUAUGAUUUUAUCUUAAGAUAAUUGUUUGCUUCUUGAAUGCCUUUAUUAUUCUAUUCUGGUCAUCAUGAAAGCACAAUAAUAAAAACUUAAAACACAAUUUUUUUGUAUUAUAUAAAUUUGGUGUGAGAUACAGGAUAUCAUGAAAUGAUAUCAGGUGACUAAGAAGAAGAGGAAAAUAAAUUGCAAAUAUGUCAUUGAAAUUCUUUUGGUCCUACCUUUAUUCGAGAUGAAUUUUUAAUUUACAAUAACUUAGUGCUUCAAUGAAUGAUUGAGUUCAUUAUUGUAUGUUGUCUACCUCCACCUCUCUGGUGGCUACACCUAAAAGGUCUACUGUCUUUUUCUUCCAUCACAUCAAACACAACAAUUUAGCUGAAGCAAGAAAAUCAACUAUAAGAUACUGAUAGCUUGCAGCAGAGCAGUUGGAAAGGUCUGGUUGUUGAGAGAGGAGUCACACAUGGACCUGCCUUAUCUAUUUUCAUAUGCAAUGCAGCUCCCACUCCACAGGAUAAGCUUUCAGCUCCUCUGUACCACAUCGAGCUAACUGACUUUAUUUCAAUUAAUUUGGUCCAGUGGAACUAAAAUGCUUAAAUGAAGAAGUUCGGUGCUUUCACAAGUGGGAGACUACUUGCAAGCUAACCACCUAAAAAAAUACUGGACACCUCAACCUCAAGCCUGACCGAUCUCUCUGUUCUCAGAUAUAAACCAAGGUGAACGGCUUCAGCUCCAACCGAAGCUUCAACAACCGACAAUCUUGAUAGUCAUGGCAGCCCCACGUCCUGUAUCAAACUUGCACCGCACUCUGUCCAUACAAACUGACCCCGCAUCUGGUAUUAUUGUACGACACGUCGGUUCAGGUAACGACAAGGUUGACUCUCCUAUAUAAUGAGAACAAUUCAGAGGACCUGAGGUACGCAAUAUGCUGUUUUUCUCACAGAGUCCUCACUCUGCUGAAAUAUCUCUCUUCCAUAUUGUUGUCUCGUUAUUCUGAUUUAGACAUUAAAAAAUUCUCUACCAAAAAUUCUCCGACAAGUGAUAAGUCCAGUGUGCCUCAACCAGCCUAUUUAGUCCAUCUCUAGCCAACCUUUGGAUCAUUUGGGCCGCGUCGCUAGCCCGAUCUGGAUACGCGGCAGCACCGCCCAUGUGGAGAGUGAGAGAGUAUGAGGUAUGCAAGGACUUUUGAGUGCUCUUGCCUCUUAAGGACAUCUCCAAAACCACACGGUUUCCAUCACAAAACCACCUUUGUCGUCAUGGAGGCUGGUUUUUCUCUUACCAUAUCGCUUCAACCCUCGCUCUUGGUCUCUUAGAAGUCCCAAGCGUCACCUAGUUGGAACUUGGAGAAGUGGGGUGAAAACAUUCAACUUGCCCAUUCAAACAUCUAUUUAAGGACCUCAAUCCCUCUUUAUCUCCUCAAAAGAAAUCAACAUCUCUCUCCUUUUCCCACCUGUUCUUGCCCUUCUCUCUCUUCUCGCACUCAUCUCUUCGAGCAAUCAUUUUUCUCCCAUCCUAAUGCUCAUCAUUCACCAAUAGCUUCAGACCAAAGUCGUUCUAAAAGAUCCCUUACUUCUGCACAGGAGAAUGGCUUUGGUUGGGUUUAUCUUGCUUGGCUUUCUCCCACUAUUCACUGCUGCACACGGGUAUGGAGGGGGAUGGUCCAGUGCCCAUGCUACCUUCUAUGGGGGAAGUGAUGCUUCUGGGACGAUGGGUAUGCUUGCAUUGUUAUUGUAAGGCAGGGAUGGCAUUAUAAUAAGAGAAACUCCAUUGAGCUACCAUGAAACUGUAAUGACCAUUGUUGCAUCCAUUUCCUUGGCAGGUGGGGCUUGUGGCUAUGGUAACUUGUACAGCCAAGGGUAUGGGACUAACACUGCAGCUUUGAGCACUGCACUCUUUGACAAUGGACAAAGUUGCGGGGCUUGUUAUGAAAUAAGGUGUGCAGAUGACCCCAAGUGGUGCCUGCCAAGUUCCAUUGUGGUCACAGCAACCAAUUUCUGCCCGCCCAACGAUGCCCUCCCCAGUGAUGCUGGGGGCUGGUGCAACACACCCCUGCAGCAUUUUGAUCUCUCUCAGCCUGCGUUCUUGCACAUUGCUCGGUACAGGGCUGGAAUUGUGCCCGUUGCUUAUAGAAGGUGGACAAAUUUGAUUUUGUGUCAACACGUUUAUUUUUUUUUUCUCAUGAACUUAGUUUUUAGCUUCUGCUCUUUCCAAAUUUGCCUUGCCAUUGAUCAUACAAUGAGCACGGAUUCUCUGCGACGCGCGUGUGCUGUGCAGCCGUCCAUGGCUGCCAUAAAGAUAUGGACGGGAGUCCAUGAAUGCAUGCUGGGUCCAUCUUCUAAUGGCGUCACAUAUAUCAGGAGGAUACAAGUAUACUCUCCUAUUGCUCCUUGUGCUUGUCAUAUUUCCAUAGAAAAUGAAUGAUCUUUGUGGUGGGUCAGCUUCAUAAUAAUCUUAUCAGUUUUCCAACCUGUCGUACUGUCGUCUAUUGUUCUAUAAAAACAUGAGAUACGGACCGAAUAAUUCUCGCAUAUUAUAAGAACGUCGGUAACAUCUUGUGGGCCAGCCUGCUGCUUUUCUCCUUCGAGGCUAUGCCAAGUGCCUUUCUACUUCUCUUACACCGCAUAUGAUGGCUCCUUCUCUUUUAAGUUUUGUCCAAUUCCUAUUGUCCUUAAGGCUACUGAGGCGUUGUUCUCUUAGCUGGCUUGGUUUCUGGACUGCAGGGCCCCAUGCAGGAGGAGGGGGGGCAUCAGGUUCACCAUCAAUGGUCACUCCUACUUCAACCUGGUGCUCAUCACCAAUGUUGGAGGUGCUGGGGAUGUGCAUGCAGUGUCCAUCAAAGGAUCCGUGACUGGGUGGCAGCCAAUGUCCAGGAACUGGGGCCAGAAUUGGCAGAGCAACACCUACCUCAAUGGCCAGGCCCUCUCCUUCAAGGUCACCGCCGGCGACGGUCGCACUGUGGUCUCUUACAAUGUGGCUCCUGCUAGCUGGUCCUUUGGCCAAACCUUCAGUGGGGGGCAAUUCCAUUAAACUGCUUAGAACCCCAUCUCCAUCUAUCUUCCAAACUUAUAGCAGGCAGUGUAUUCGUGGUAUAUAUUGACAGUUAUGUGUCAUUAGGACAAGAAGAGUGAUGUAUCGAUAUUAGAAGGGCUUAUUUUACUGUGGCUCUUCGCAGAUCUGGUUGUGUGUUUCUCUAGGCCUUCUUUCCAAGGCCUUAAGAGUUGAGACUGCUCUCGAAGGAGAAGAAGAGGGUGGUGCUCUGCUUCUUUCUCUGGGCAAAAAUUGGCAGUGGUGGGACUCUUACCCACCCGCCAACUAGCAUAUAGGGAGAUAUAAGUGCUUUUGGCUACUUUUAUCUGUAUGCGUUCCUCUGUGUUCCUUUUAUCUGUGGUGAGCUUGUUAGAGGAAGAAAGCUCCUUCGGAGUUUAUGUAAUCAGUUGUUUUCAGUUGCUUGCUGAAAGGCUUUGUUAUCUUUAGCCCAUUUGCAUGGAAGCUGAAAUCUGUAGUUACCUAGUAAUGAAAAGUAUUCUUAUAAUUGGGUACUAAUACUGAGAAUUUCCUUCUCAUUUUCCCAUAUUGCAGUUAUUUAAGUUGUUUAAAAGCGUGUUAAUUACGUUAAUCAUGUUGGUGUGAGCACUUGCUACGUUUACUUUGGAGACCUGCAAGGAGUGUCAGGAGUACGAUAAACUUCAAAAUGUAGCACUAUAAGUUUUAGAAGGAAUUGUGUCAAAUGAUUCAAAUAUCCAUGAUGUAGAUUAACCAAAGAUUUGGUGAAAGCAAAGAUGAUUCGGGCAUGAUCAUGACUAAUGACGCAUGAAGUUGACGAUGUGAAUCGUUACAUAUGUUAAUAAUUGUGUUUUAUUCUAAAUGCCUUUUACUUUACAACUAUCUUUAUGAUGUGCUAUAGCAAAAGGCUAAAGCUAUAUAAUUACCAAACUUUGGACCUAACAGGUAGAGAGUUGGACAUUCAAUUCAUUAUUGCCCUUGGGUUAGAUUCUCUUCUUACACAACUCUCAGGUUAUGGAUUGAGUGAUAAAUGCAUUUGGAAGCACAGUUAAACAUGAUGCUAAAGCAAAUUAAAUAAGUAAUACUCUUGUGAUUUCUUUAUUUUUCUUGUAAAUUCUCCUGCACAAUGUGCUUGGACGUGCAUCUAUUAGUCGGCUUGCAAUUGUGAGAUCCAUUCCGCAAGACUAGCAUUAAUUUGGAUAUCCUGAAAAAUUUCAGCAAUACGCUUAGGUUGAUUGGUGCAAUUUGCUUUACUUGAAGUGAUUUGGUUUACAAGUUAGAUGCUUUGCACUCUACUAGCUUUUGCUUUCAAUAGACUAUCCAGCAUUUUGGCUUGGACCAAACUCUAAAACUCUGAAAUUUACUUGUGCUAGGCCCUGUUUGGGUUUCAAUUGGCUGAAUCCAACUUGAAACAGAUCAAAACUUGUGGAUUGAAAACAGAUACGGUUUAGUUCUCUGAGUGAACUCUGAACCAUCUUUGACAAAUGAAAUCACACUUGUCAUGUCAAGCAGAAGUUCUUGAUCAAAAAAUUUGAUUACAAUCAAGCUACAUAUAUAGUACUUUAUAAGAAAUUAUAGACUAAUGUUGAUGGCUCUUCGACUUUAAAUGGCUAUAAUCAGCAAUGACCUCAUUAUAUUUGCGCCAAGCGACUCUGUGUCAUCAAACAUGGUGCAUGAAAGUCAUACUACAUUUAGGGCAUCGCUGUAAACUACAACUUUGAUACAUUGGAAAGUUCGAAUAGUCUGAUGAUGUGAACUAUCGUAUGCAAUUGCUUGCGCUUGGGGGCAUGCCAGGCUAGAUAAGUUCUUCAUUUCCUAGUAACAGUUUUGGGAUUCUCAGGUCUUCAAUCUAGUGUAAAUUGUACCCAUCACCAGUCGCAAUGGUUUGUGAUGCAACUCAACAAGAUGGUAGCUGACAUGGUAGUUAUGGAUACUUUGUAGCAGGGGUGAUGAUGAACUUCGAUUUCCCUUCACUUUUUUGGAUAAACAAUUGGAUAUGUUGUUGAAACUUAUGCAACCAUGGAGAGAGAGCAAAUGUUUUCAAUGCAAUACUUCUGUGCUUGCAAAGCAUGUGUAUUGAAUGCAUAUGCUUAUCUUAUCGCUGAGUUGAGAGAAUAAGAAAUACAAAUUUCUUGUCUAUUUAUAGUGACAAUUUUCUUUUCUUUCUCAAGUUGCAUUGGAGAUAUAAGCUACUCAACACCUUAGCUAUUCUGGAUUGGCUAUCCUAUGAUGUUCUUUUAUCUAAUCUAGAUCAAAACCAUACUUCCCCAACUAACCUCAAAUUCUUCUGCAGUGGCUGCAAGGACUUAACAGAGAAUGAUAAAGUUGAGGUAGAAAAGGAGAGAGAGAGGCUGUAUUCGCAACAAAAAAUGGCGACUGUUUUAAUGGAGGCCUCUUGGAAUUUCCUAGCCUUGGCAGGCAUUUUAAACAAAUAAUACCACAAGCAUCAAAUGUAACAGAUUUUUUUCUUUCCGACCCUUGCGGCACUAGAUGUGAUGUAUGUGCAUGUUAAUGUAGGUGAUGAUGCCCUUAAAAUCAAAUUCCAAAAAAUUCUACACUUUAUGCCGGCUUUCCAAAGAACUUGGAAUUCAAUCCAGAACACAUGUUACUGAGGGGAUUCCUUGCUGCUGUUCUAUUAUUUUGCCUAUUUAUUGGUCUGUAUUGAAGGAUCAGGAGAGCUUUGAUACAUCUGACUCCAAUUGAAUCAGUUUGGUUCUCUGUCUGGUGCUUACAUAAUGUAUCAUCCACCAAAAUAUGCUAUAAACGCCAAUAGUUGUUUCCNNNNNNNNNNNNNNNNNNNNNNNNNNNNNNNNNNNNNNNNNNNNNNNNNNNNNNNNNNNNNNNNNNNNNNNNNNNNNNNNNNNNNNNNNNNNNNNNNNNNNNNNNNNNNNNNNNNNNNNNNNNNNNNNNNNNNNNNNNNNNNNNNNNNNNNNNNNNNNNNNNNNNNNNNNNNNNNNNNNNNNNNNNNNNNNNNNNNNNNNNNNNNNNNNNNNNNNNNNNNNNNNNNNNNNNNNNNNNNNNNNNNNNNNNNNNNNNNNNNNNNNNNNNNNNNNNNNNNNNNNNNNNNNNNNNNNNNNNNNNNNNNNNNNNNNNNNNNNNNNNNNNNNNNNNNNNNNNNNNNNUAUUGGAAUAUUUUUCCUUCUUCCCUUACAGAUUUUACGCCAAUUAAAAAUCUAAUUGCUGGAUAUCACGUAAUCUUUCUCCACACAAAAAUGGCUGGGCCAUUUCCUGGUAGGAUUGGGAUUGCAUCUUUAAGAAGAAUUCACCUUUCUUCAUGUGCAUCCACCAUUGGAUUAUCCGCCACAUAAAUCUCAAAUCACUCCGAAUUCUAUCAUUCAUUUGCUUGCAUAGAUCUCAAAGUGACUGGUGAGUGGAUUCGGGGUUUAGAAGAUGAAUCCUUCUUUCGCAUGAAAGAUGCAACCUCUAUCCUUCCUCAUAUAUGAUUGGACCUUUCGAGGUGAAAUUUUUAAAAGGUGGUGGGUGUUGCGGAAUGCCACGGUACGUAUGAAGCUCCCCUAGGUCUUCAAAAGAUCAGGACCGUCAACAUGUUCAAGUGGUAUGAUGCUGACACAGCUUAGCACUAUCCCCCUCUUUCACAUCAUCUUGUUUCAUCAUCUGGAGAUCAAAGGGUGGCAGGACAUGAAGAAACCGAGAGCACCAACCAAGGAACUACAUUUAAGAACUGCAGCCUACCAAAAUGAGAGGCCACUUAAUUCAUGUCAACUCUGCUCCACCAUUACUCCAGGAUAAGAAGAAGAGCUUGUUAAUGACUUAAUGGUAAUGUCUAGGUAACAAUUCAGGAUUUCAUCCAAAAAGCUUAUCCAGAAGGUAUUAUUUGGAUUUCUUGAUCCUGUAUAAGUAUUCAAAAUUUUCAUGUCUUUUAGUUUAUUACCAUUGAAUUGGGUAGGCGGAUUCUUAUAAGAUAUAGUAUGAUAAUGACCUUUAUGUUUGGAUUUCAAGAAGGUAGGCAAUGUUGGCAUUCCUCAGGUUUGAAAUCCGGUUGCAACUUAACCGGAUGGGGACCCUUGGAGAACCUUUUGCACACCUCUUAGAUGUAAUGCACAACACCAUCGUCCACACUGAGGGGCUAGUUUAAAUAGAUCAUGGAUUAGGUUGUUAGCACAACCUUUUAAUUUUUUUGUAACAUAGUUGAAUAUGGAUUUUUAGUAGGAAAGAUUCUGACCACCCUGUGAUGAGCAUGAGAUAGGGAUAAGAAGAAAAGGUAACCAUAUCGGAAUGUAUAAUGGGAGUUAAACGUUACGGCCAUGUAACUAGUGACUGCUCAUCUCACAACGAUUAUUUGCAUGUCAUUUCUUUGAGCGUACCAUCAAAUUCCAACCCUAAUCUGAUUUAGUGAGAAUCAUGGAUUGCAAGACUAAGAGUAUUAAUAUGAAGAAGAUCCAUGCAUGUUUUCUAUUGCUUUGAAUUGAUAAAUAUUGAAAUAGUUAUAGUAUCCUAGACACUAUAGUUUUCUUAUAAUUUAUGUAUUAGACCUCUCCUUGAAUCAAGCAAAUAGCACCCAUAUCAUGAUCAAGUCUCCUGAUCAUGGUAGCAUCCUUUCUACAUGUAUGGAUAUAUUUUCAUUGAAGUUGUAUUACUACUAGAAUGUGGUUUAAAUUUUCAAUAAAAAAUAUUUAAAUAAAAAUAAUGAUAUAUGUUAUAAGAAAGAUUUGAACCUUGGUGCUUAAAUAUCCAAAUGCCCUAGAGCUGCCCGGAUUUGAUGGGAUAGCAGAAAUAGUGCUGAGAUAAAGAUUUUGUUUUUUUGGUUGGUUUUUGGGUGGGGAGGGGUUGGAUAGAUGAUCAGAUAUACAUCACACACACACACACACACACACACACACACACACACACACACACANNNNNNNNNNNNNNNNNNNNNNNNNNNNNNNNNNNNNNNNNNNNNNNNNNNNNNNNNNNNNNNNNNNNNNNNNNNNNNNNNNNNNNNNNNNNNNNNNNNNNNNNNNNNNNNNNNNNNNNNNNNNNNNNNNNNNNNNNNNNNNNNNNNNNNNNNNNNNNNNNNNNNNNNNNNNNNNNNNNNNNNNNNNNNNNNNNNNNNNNNNNNNNNNNNNNNNNNNNNNNNNNNNNNNNNNNNNNNNNNNNNNNNNNNNNNNNNNNNNNNNNNNNNNNNNNNNNNNNNNNNNNNNNNNNNNNNNNNNNNNNNNNNNNNNNNNNNNNNNNNNNNNNNNNNNNNNNNNNNNNNNNNNNNNNNNNNNNNNNNNNNNNNNNNNNNNNNNNNNNNNNNNNNNNNNNNNNNNNNNNNNNNNNNNNNNNNNNNNNNNNNNNNNNNNNNNNNNNNNNNNNNNNNNNNNNNNNNNNNNNNNNNNNNNNNNNNNNNNNNNNNNNNNNNNNNNNNNNNNNNNNNNNNNNNNNNNNNNNNNNNNNNNNNNNNNNNNNNNNNNNNNNNNNNNNNNNNNNNNNNNNNNNNNNNNNNNNNNNNNNNNNNNNNNNNNNNNNNNNNNNNNNNNNNNNNNNNNNNNNNNNNNNNNNNNNNNNNNNNNNNNNNNNNNNNNNNNNNNNNNNNNNNNNNNNNNNNNNNNNNNNNNNNNNNNNNNNNNNNNNNNNNNNNNNNNNNNNNNNNNNNNNNNNNNNNNNNNNNNNNNNNNNNNNNNNNNNNNNNNNNNNNNNNNNNNNNNNNNNNNNNNNNNNNNNNNNNNNNNNNNNNNNNNNNNNNNNNNNNNNNNNNNNNNNNNNNNNNNNNNNNNNNNNNNNNNNNNNNNNNNNNNNNNNNNNNNNNNNNNNNNNNNNNNNNNNNNNNNNNNNNNNNNNNNNNNNNNNNNNNNNNNNNNNNNNNNNNNNNNNNNNNNNNNNNNNNNNNNNNNNNNNNNNNNNNNNNNNNNNNNNNNNNNNNNNNNNNNNNNNNNNNNNNNNNNNNNNNNNNNNNNNNNNNNNNNNNNUUGCUGCCACCAUCAUUUUCAUUAUUGCACACCGCCACCAGCAUUUUCCUUUACUGUAUAGUUGGCACCCUUCCAAUCACCAUCAUUUUCAUUGCCUCUCCUACAAUGCUAUUGCUAAAGGAAUAGGAGAUGUGCCCCAUAAAGAAAGAGCGAGCGCUCACUACUAUUUAUUAACUAUUUCAAACUUUUUUAUCUUAUUUUUAUUAAACUUCUCUGACGAGAGUGGUAUCCCCCGUCUCUAAGACAGCGGAUAGUAUUCUGGGCUCUCCUAGCAUGAAUGGAGGCGUCGAAAAACCUUGUCUCCCUUGAGAAUCUGGAAGAGGUAGCCCAUCCCAUUUUAGCGAGAGGGAGGCAGUGAAUCACCUGGGCUACGGAUUUUUCGUUUUUUUUACAUUAUUGCUUUUGUCACAUAAUUGGUAGCCCUACCAUUAUCACCACCUUUCUCAUAACGUUGUUGCGCUUGCCAUCAACAUUAUCGUUGUCUCUAUUGUUUUCAUCGCUACUACCAUUAUCCUGCACCAUUAUCUGCUUUUAAAAUUAAUUGGCUAUACCAAACAUAGUUAUAUAUUUAAAAUUAAAUAAUAAUUUUAAAAUUUUUAUUUCUAUUUUAAAAUUAAAAAUAAAAAUGGUGCUAAAGAAUAUCUAAAUAUACUUUCCAUCUCGAUUAUUAUGAUUUUAUUUUUAAAAUAAAAAAUAUAAGAGAUGCCAAAUAUACUUUUUCCAUUUACACCCGAUAAACCGUCGUAGAAAACUACGUGGAGACAGGCAAACGGUUGAUCGGAGGACAAACAGUGGAAUGGCAUCUACGUAGAGAGGGAUACGGAGUGACGUGCUUCUGAGACGAACAUGGCAUGACUCUAAGCCUAAAAUACGUUCUCAGCCAAAGGAUAAACCUACGGAAAUGCACUUCCAAGCACAGUGAUCCAAUAUGGGCUUUCUCUCUUUAAAUUAUUCUUGUAGAGAGGGGAGCUUCAGGGAAGCGUUUCCUUGCUCGGCCCGGCCUCUUUAGGCUGGCAACCCUUUUAUUUUGCCAGGUUUUCUUUCGCUUAAGGGUCAGGUUUUCUCUCACUUAAGACUAAUGACGUUGCGGAUUGGGUGGCUGCCUAUAUGGGCCAGUUAUUCUAGAGGUACCAUGUGCGCCGAAGAGGAAGACUUGCUUCUGACACUCUGCGAUCUUUUGUUUUCUGAUUUUAUUGAAUGUAUUCAUAUACUGCUUUGAGGGAAAAAAAAAAAUCAGAUUUUGGGCUUGUUGGCUAUAUAUGGUCUAUAUAUAUAGUUGUUUGAGAUGGAUGCCAUUAUCUUUUCCCGAUUCGCCCACGGCACCGGCAACUUCUGGUCUGUGACCUAGGUGGCCACGGCAGCACUGGAACAGUGAGCCAUAUCGGCGCCUCUUCGAAUUCAUGUCUGUUUCUUUAUCGGAUCGAGAGUUCUCGGUGACAGGUUUUGAAGCUCUCCGAUCCUCUUCCUCCAGUACGCCUUGUGCUAUUUAUGGGUUGUACCUUUCUCCAUCUGCUUGGCCAAUGGGUUAAGCUGGUAAAGCCUCCUGAGUAUCUGAAAAAAUAAAAAAAACCCAAAAUCUCCUAAAGUGUGUGUUUUGCACUGGAUCAUCAUCUUGUCUAAUCAUCGAGAGGGACAACUACAGAACAAGCUGGCUGCGUGCCAUACACGAUGCAUUUUGUGUGUCAUAUAAUAUAUUUUGAUUGAUAACCGUCCAUCUUUAUGAUCGGAUGACACAGCGGCCGUUCAUAAUUGUAUAACAUUAAAAUUGCGCGGGGNNNNNNNNNNNNAAAAGAAGAAGAAAAGCACAAUGAUCAAGUUAUAUUCGGCUUGUAGUCAACUAGUGGCACAACGGACACAUCUGAAGACUUCAAGGUGACCGGAGGCUGCCGGUUUGUUAAAAUCAAAAUCAAUAAGGAGGUUUCAUUGUUUAGUGGAGUGGGGUGUUGUUUGAUUGCACAGGUGCAAAUGAGGAUCCAUCCACCCAAGAGCAACUAGGUCUGACCUUAAGCAUGGAAACAAAGAGUCCGAGUCGAUUCCAGAACGCGACAUUUCUUGCAUUCAAGCGCACCAUUUUUAUCAUGGAUGGCCAACACAACUGCACCAUUGAAUUACCGACAUUGUCCAUUUGGAUUUUCGUUUAAUUGUCUGAUCAUAUUGUUUAAUGGUCUAAAAUCGGCACGAAUCGCUCUCAAUAUUCAUUCAGAAAUCGGCAAAUGUUAAGUACGGCGAAUGGACUACCGGCUUCUUGCGUUUGGUGAGCCCACGAUACCAAAACUUAAAAGAAGUUGGAAUAGCGUAGUUGAAACUGAAGAGGGAACCACAUCAAACGCUGAAAACAAAAGAGGACGAGCUUGGGAUGUUAGCAACUUUUGAAGAGUCUCGACUUAUUUGGAGUUGUGCAUGUAUUUCGGAAGACGAAUAGUGCGGCAGACUGGGUCGUCUCCUUCGCAGCACAUCAUUCUGAAGCUUUCUCAUAGGACGGCACUGGCUUCAUUUCGCAGGGAUUAGCUCAUGUUUUGUAUUCCGAUUGGUCGCGACGUACUCACAUCCGAGUAUAGUAAAACUCUGGUGUACAUAAAAAUAAAAAAUAAAAAAAUAAAAAGAAAAGUAAAAAUAAAAAGGACGAGCUUGUGAACCGGGAAGGAUUUCCCCUUAAAAAUGUACCGGAAAGGAGUCCGGCAAACCAUAUGUUUAGCUAGGGCACAAAAAGAAAGCCGCUUGCACCCAUUCCAGCCAACCUAGCGAUUGGGAGCUCACCUAGGGUUUGAUUUGCCUUCAAAAUAAGUAUUUUUUUCUCCCUGCGUUCUGUAAGGUUCUUUGAUUUCUUCUCAGUCUUCUCACACGAUAGAAUUUGGUACCGACUCCCCUGGGAUUCCUGAAGCUCAAGAGUUUUUAAUCUAUCAAUACUGUGGGAGCUUUGAAUUUAACCACGCAGCUUGGAUAACAAAUUGAAAUGCGCAAAAUUGAUUCAAAAAUAUCGAAUUUGAUUGAAUGGAUAAUAGCGAAUUCCAUCUCUUGUUCAAUGCUUGCGACGUAUUUGUGAAUUUGAUUUAGCUUCGUGAUGCAUGACACUUGAUCUUUUAAAACAUCGUCGCUUUAACUCAUUCGCUGUGUCUUUGCCUGGUGCGUUAUGUGUCUGAUUACUUUUUUGUGUCAGGAAAGAGCUAAAGUUGAAACCUUUUCACGAAUGUCAUCUAAUAUUUAUUUCUUAGUAGCCUCCUUGUGAUAAACUAUGCGUUAUGGUGCUUUGCUAAUCAAAACCUUGUUGUAUUUAGCACUAUAUGCUGCAGAAGACAAGGAUUCUCCGACUGUCAUCCAUUUACAGCUUUCCAGUUGAUGACGUGCAGUACUGCUGAUGCAUUUUGCUUUUGUUAUUAAUCAUAGUAUGGUUUCUUGCAGCAGUAAAAUCAGUUUUGGUUUAGUCCUAAAUGAACCCUUCUUUGGAAAAUUCGUUAAUAUGCAUUGUCGAAGGAUGAGGGGAUGGGGGAUGUUUUCAUUUAUCCUUCUUCCUUAUGAAGUUUUAAUCUAUUCAAGUUGAAAUAAUCCUCACUGGCGGUCAUGCAUAAGUAGCUAUGUUCAUUAAACGCAGCUGUGUCUUGUGUUAUCUCGCAAGUCUUUUUUUUUUUAAUAUUCAGCCUCUGCAAUCCAUUGUAUGGUAUUUCUUACCUUUUCCGUGCCAUCUUUCCCUUUCCAUAUAGAGAUGUGAGCGAAGAAAAUGAAACAGCUUCUUCUCGAAAAUGCCCUGUUCCACGGCUGAAUGAAAGGAUUCUCUCAUCCUUGUCUAGUAGAUUGGUAGCUGCACAUCCUUGGCAUGAACUUGAAAUAGGUGUGUCCCCCAACAAUCCAAGUAGCACAUUAUAUAAGUGUGUUAAAAUAAUGUACAGCAGCUGACUAUCCAAAAAAAAUGCAUGCAAGUCUUGGAGCUUUACAGUAUUUGGUCUUAUUCUUUGUUAGAAAUAUGCCCGGUUGAUUUUCGAGGAUCAUAUCUAAAUUCUGGUUGGCACUUUAGUUUAGCUUGUAGUUUCAUAAGAAUAAGGUUGGAAGAACCAUUUCUCUGACAAGCAUGCUGACCAAUGGCCAAUACAGUAUGGUACCGGUUCAUGUCGUAUGAAACUGCGGUGUUCUGGAACCACGAGGAGAGAGAGGGAUAGGGCCAGAGAGGAAGAAGGAGAGAGAGGUGGGAGAGGAAGAAGGAGAGAGAGGUGGGAGAGAGAAGGGCGACUUACCUGGGCUAGAGAUAGCCGGACUCGGAGGAGGUGGCCUUUGACGGAUUUGGCGAGUGAGAGAUAUUGCGAGGACGAUGAGGGGGUGAAGUCGUGACAACGACGAUGAGGCUGGUCCCUGACCUCCAUGAUGAAGGCCUUCAUCCCUAUGAGAAAGAGAGAGAGCAGCCAUGGAGCCAUGGAGGUAGGCUGACGGCGAGCAAGACACAAUGAAGAAGGGAUCGCGAGGUAGAGAGAGCUUUGGGUUAGGGUUUCAAAAGGGGGGAGGGGCAGAGCGAAGUGAAUCAAAAAUGGGGAGGAAAAUGCUUAUAUUUUCUAAAUCGAAGCCUUGAACCAUUCUGGUAACCGGCUGGUUCCAGUUCGAUCCUCCCCAAAUCGGCUGGUUUGGCACGAUUUGGCUAACCUUAGGUAAGAACAUUGAUUGUCUCAACUUAGAUCUAAGUUUAAUAUGUUAUUACGUUUAGAAUCUAUGUCAACUAAAAACCUACAACCAUAACCUGCAUAUGUGGUCGAGUUUUUGAAUCCUUGGGCUCCAAUCAUUUAUUCAUUCUGAUAAAGGGUUACCCUUGGUCUUAUUUUGAGUUUUUCAAAUUCAUUCUCAUAUAUUUUAUCCAUCUUAGCUACUUAAUAAUUAGGACUUUUCUUCUUAUUUCUAAAUCCUUGAACAAAAGUUUGAGUACCUCCCUUAUUGAAUUCUUGUAAUACUUCAGUUAUAUUCCCAUACCAUCUUAACUAGUCCUCCAUCACUAUCCUCAUUCACUUCAACCGUUCUUUCUCUUUUAAUAUACUCAUUCCUUGAUUUAUCCUUUUUAUGUUUCAGCACCUUCUUUAAACAUUUUUAUUUUGUUAAACUUGUAACUUUAUUACCGUUCCUUUUUAUUGCCCAAUAUUUUGAGCCAUACAAUAUUACAAUUCUUUUUUCAAAUCUUCUCUUAAGUUCCCAAGAUACAUGUUCAUCACAUGACAUUCUGGAAGCACCUUUCUGGUUCAACCAUCCAGCCUUAUUUCUAUUACAUAUGUCUUCAUCUCUAUCUCUACCCGCUUUUAUGUCAAGAACCUAAAUAAAAAGAAACUAGUCACACCAUUAUAUCUCUUGUUCAUCAAUCUUGAUAAUGCCCAAGGGUUUCCUCAACUGCAUAAGAAGAUUACUUCAGUUAUUGACCUUUUUCAAGAUUGCCAUCAUUUUCCUAAAUUUGUAUUCCAUGACCCAUAGCCAUAAGUUUCUAGAGUGGAUCAUUGGUUUAAUUUGAUUUAGAGCAGUUUUUUGUGGCUCCAUUAUUCUCAAAAAUGGGUACCAAAAUAUUCCUCUAAUAAUUCAAAACUCUUGGUUUUUAAGAUCUCAUUCGUAAUCUAGAAAGCUAAACUGACCAAUAACUUUCAUGAUUUUUCUCACCUCAUUGUGUUUCAUCUGCCUUAGGUUUUUGUAUGCUUUUCAAAGUUACAUCUACUUAAGUUUUUUAAUUGAAUGAAGAAAACCAUGAUGACUCCUUUAUCUAACCUCUUCUGUACAUUUUUUGGCAAAAUCCUCAUUCAAAUAUUUUUUUUCCAGAAUGACCACUCUUUGGUGUCCAUAUCUUUCAUCAAAUACUUGUGAUUCUCAUCAUUACAGUGCCUUACUUGGUCGGCAUAUCUAGAUUUUGCAUUUAUUUCAUAAAUUCCAUUUUUACUUGGAAUCUAACCUACUACAAACUAUCAUAUGCAAUAUUUUUUUCUUUUUAUAUCUUUCAAAACCCAUUAUGUCAUUUGUUUUUUUUUCCUUUUUGGUAUCGUUUAUUUUAUUGAAAGCAAGCUCUCUUUACCUUAACUGCCUCUCCCAUGCUUCUUUAUGUAUACUGCCUUUGUCUUCAGAUUCUCUAAGAACCUUUUUUAGUCACUCUCCUGAAACAAUCAAGUCUGACUAGUUCCACAUUUGUCAAAUUCCAAUUCUUUAGUUAAAAUUUUCUUCCUUUAAUAUUUUUUUUUCGUUGAGAGAUAUUACAUUUUUGUUGCUUGAAAUUUCACCAUCUUGUCUUUUGGCAUUUAGAAACUUCAAUUUUCUCUUCUUACACCUGGUAUAGACAUCUAGGACUACUAAUGCUGUGUGGUUAGGGUGUCUUCUGGUAUCAACUUAUAAUUGUCUCCUGGAAACAAUUAUCUAUCUAUGAUAAAUUUAAUCCACUCUUAGAAAUAAACAUUCAUCUCUCUUCUUGUAAUACAUAUUUGGUUUUUCUAGGUCCAAAAACACCAGAAGCUCAAGAAUUGAAUCUCCCAUGGAAUUUAUUUAGUUAAAACCCAUGUCCACCAUGUUUUCUCACAUGACCUAUGUAACUCCUUCCUGUAUACCAAUUUAAGUUAGCACCUUUUUCUUCCCAUGAAAUAUCCUGCAUUAAUCUAUUAUCUUCUUCCAAAAUCUCUCUCUCUCUUUCUCUGUGUGUGCGCGCGCGCGCGCGCACUCUCUCUUUUCUUCCAAAUCUACUUGUGGUCCAUGAGAAAUAAGGACAUUAAUAAUCUCAUCUAAACUAACUUGAUAUAUAACUAGAUUAUAUUUCUUAUCCUUUUCAAAUCUAUGAUUUGAUCCUUCAUAUCUUAAGCUCUAAUAUUAUAAUUCCUUUUCUGGUGUGGACAUCUUCUUUAUAUAACUUCUCAGAGUUGCCAAUCUUUGCCAUUCUAUAUAUUUUAUUAUAAACCAUGCUCUACGGAUUCUCUUUUGCACUAUUGCAUGGACCUUCUACUGUAUCUAGUCAAAGUUCCAACUUUUUUUCCUUUUAUUAUGGGAUUAGCUUCUUUGCAUGCCUUUGCUCUAGUUUAUGGGGUCACCUUUGCUUCUUACCAUUGGUGGCACUGUUAAACAUUUUUGGGAAAUAACCUAACACUAAUGAAUCCUUGCUCAUAUUGCACCUCAACGAAGUAUAUUAACCAGCCCAAGUUAGCAUAUGCAAUUAUUCAAUUGACAUGCUAAUCAUUUGAGGCAUACAUGUGGCAUAUAUUGGAAGGAAUCUUAUUAGCUCCUUGUAACAUUUCUUAGCCAAAUAACCAGCAAGCUUUAGUAGUUUCUUUCAGCAAAAUGUAUUUUAUGAGCUUCUAUCAAUCUUUAUUUUCUUUUAUUCUCUAGAGUACAUGUUAUUGUUCUCUUAUUAAUAUUCUUCUCUUGUUUUCCUUGCCUGAACUAAAGCGGGUGUUAAUUAUCAUAGACUUUCUCCUUCUCUGUCUAUUCCCUAAAUGAUCUCUUUAUUUCUUCCAAGUCCUAUCUUCUUUUUUCUUUAUUACUUCCUAACAAUUGUCAAUCUUUUGCUCCAACCUUGAAUCAUUGCAAUUACCAAAUUCUUGAUGGGCUAGGUGAAUUCAUAGAUGCAAAUGAGGUGAAUAUGUUGUAUUCUAAAUAUUGAUUUUGACCUUGGAGGUAAGAUAGGAAGUUGCAAUUUGAGAAAGUGUGAAGAUAUGAGAGAGUGUCCUUGAUAGGAUAGAUGACAGAUAAGUUCACAGAGUGAAUUCAUGAAUGUCGUUAAAAAGCUGCUUGAAUCCUAUAUUAAAUAUUUUGUGAUGGAUGCUAUAACCUUUUAUGUGGAAGACAUGGAACACCUUUAAAUUCACUUUACUAAGAGGAGCUUCAACAAAUUUUUUGGGCUUUAUGGAUAUUGAGAAGUAAAAUUCUUGAUCCCUGAUGUUAAAUAUAUUUUGGUAGACAAGAUGAUGGGGCAAAGAACUAUCUUAUUUUGGCUUCUCCAUUCUUCUGAGGAGGCCUAGAUUUUUAGAAUUUUUUGAGAAGAUAAUAAAUGGAGGCAUUUACUGAUGACACUCCAAGAAAAGAUACAUUAAGCUGCAACAAAUGAUGUCACUUACUGAAUGGGUAAAAUUUGGAGCAUGUUGUUGUUGAGAUAGAUACAUCAAAAAGCCAAGACAAAAGGUAUUCAGGAGCUGUAAGAGAUGCUAAAUAAACUUCUUACUUUGCUUUCUUUGGCCCUAUAUGAAGCAAAGCUUCUACAGGGUGGAGGCUGACAUUUUGGGAAGUUUUGACUUUGACAGGUUUUCAGUACGGUUCUACUAUCUGCUUGGUUUUCUUGAUAAAUCUAGAUGUGGGUGAGGGACGGGCUUUUUGGGUUUUUUNNNNNNNNNNNNNNNGGGGGGGCAGUUAUCUAUAGGAACUACUCAACCUUUUUGCUCAUGAAAUUCUUUUUUAAGUCUUUGUCGAGAACUACGUGUUGCUAUUCCUCUCUAUUCUUUAUUUAUUUACUAUUACUCUCAGCAUACCUGUUGAAGGAUAAGAAAUAAAAUGAAAAUAAAAUAAGAUAAUGCUGCAAUAUAAACAGGAGUUUGAACUUCUUCCUGCAUUUAAUUUCAAUUUACUGUUUCUAAUGAAUCUGCUUUAUGUUCACUUUUCCUUGUGGUUUAGCUUGUGAAGUUAUCGAAAGGAAGUAAAAUGAAAUAUGUACAUGACAAGAAAAUAGGACUGAUUAGGUUGUGGAUUUUAGUUCUGCCAUGGCCUCAUCUGAUGGUGUCUGAGAUGUGUGCGGUAUAUUAGCAUUGAUGUCUAUUUUAAGAACAAGAAAUUUUCCUUUGGAGAUACAAUCUCUACAAUUGCUUAAAUUUCUAGCAUCCCCUGGAAAAGGAGAUAGUGAUGCUUCAGGCUGUUGACAUGCCUUUCAUGUUCUUUUUCAAAUUAAUAAGCCCUUCAUUCAGCUUUUUUCAUUAAUGAAGAUCAUGAUGAUGUGAUGUCAGGUUGAUCAUGUUUUGUAUUCGUCGGUUAGUCUAUCCUCAUAAUUAUGGUUUCAAACCAUGCACACUUUGCGACGAUGGUGACUCUAUGGAUGUUUUGGUUCUGAUGCAGGUGACUUGAAAAUUUAUACCACUCAUCAGCAACUCGGUUUAGUUUACUUAGUUAUAUUUUUUUUUAUAUAUGUAUAUUUAUUUUUUAGCUGGCAAAACUACUUGAUAUGAUAGUCGAAAAUUCCAAUGAGUCCUCCCAGGUUUCUUAGUCUCAAUUCUUCUUUCGAGAAAACUGUACCUUGGUUUUUAAUUACUCUAUUCCUGAUUUUCUUUACUUUCUUUAUAUGGUCAUUAUCAAGUAUCAAGUUUGUGUCUCUGAUAAUGUUAUUGUCAUAGAAAUAUUGUUCUAUGAAUUACUGAAAGAUUCUUGAAUACUCUUGAUUUUUUUCCCUGACUAAAAGAUUCACCAAUUUAUUCCCAGGUAACUAAAUGAAUCAAUAUUUUUCAAUUGUUCACAAAUUUGUAAUUUAUUGAUAAAUUAUUCACAACUAAUUUAACAAACUUGUGUGUAUAACAAAUUAAUGAUGCUGUGUCAUUGGUGAUUUGUACUUCUUGCUACUCGCUCUUGUUCUUCUCUAUCCAAUGCUUGUAUUUACAUUAACACUUAUUUAAAUAUGCCAUUUAUAUUACAUUUUAUGUUCUGUUAAACUUUUGUUUCUCGCAUAUUUAAAUCCAGAUUCUUUCUGAACUUUUGGCAAGACCUCUGCAUUUUUGUAACUCCAGAUCUUUGCCCAUCUUGUUUUGAAGACUGAACCCAUGAAUUUGGUUACUAGAAACUGUUGAAAAUUAUAUUUAUUUUAACAACAAAUAUUGGAGCAGGAACCAGUCCUUCCUGGUUGCUUUCUUUGGGCAAGGGCCAUUGUGCUUAUGCCUAUGAUUGAUCAGGUAGUUUAUUUUGUAGCACGUGAAUAGCACAUGAACUAUGACUUCUUUUAUUUUUCUUUUCUUGUUUACUUUAAUCUGGGCUCCAUGCCUGCUUGUUCUGAUAGCAGGGUGAGAAAGAUGACAAAAUUACUGCAAUUUGUGCUGAUGAUCCUGAAUACCAUUACUACAAUGAUCUAAAUGAACUGUCUCCUAAUUCUUAAAGAACUUUCAUCUGUUAAUCUAUCAACUGUUUGACUACCCUCUUGGGAACACUAGAAUCUUUGACAAUGAUAUAGACAAAAAAAUGAGAAUUGCGGUUAAUGAAUUUUUACAAUUACCACCCAGGAAGCCAUCCAGCACUCCAUAUAAGUUGAAGUCAGCUACCUCAUGCUCAUAAGAGCAAGCAUGAUUUAUCCCCCUUUACUUCAAUGCCUAACAUCUCAAAUUUCCAUUCGUAUCAGUUUUUAAGCUAGUCAUUGAUCCUUUUUCAGAAUAUGAGUUGCUCGGCCUCUUUGAUAGCUAUUGACUUUUAUUAUUGACAAAAUGCAUGCUUCUUCUUAUGUUCCUCUUCUGAAAAUAUCUUUCUGGUGGAUGCCACUGCAAGGAUUUUUAUGCUGAGUACAUCUUGCAGAUCUUGAGGCUUUCAAUAAUGCAUUCCUCCAGCUAAACAGAGUGGGGAGAUAGAAAAAACUCAUCCUCUAUUAAUUUCAUUCUUUAAUUCAGUUUUGAAUUUUGCUGUCUCAGCUUGUAUCUGAAACAGUGAUCAGAUCACAUGGAUGCCUGAUGGUUUUUCAUGGUUGGCUUUUGCCUGAUUUUAUCCAUUCAGUGUUGCAUCUUGAUGUGUAAUUUUAUGUAGCUACAAAGCGAGCAAUUUGGGUAGAACCACUAACUGCCAUUUGGUGGUCCAUUUUCUCAAAAGAAGGAAGAUGACAUUUGGUCAAUUUUGGCAGGCUAGCAAAGUUGAAGGCUUCCAUGUGCUUUAUCGGAGAAUAUUUUGAAGCAUGGUUUAAUCCUUUCUAACAUGCAAGAAGCAAUUCAGAUUUUUCUUAUUCAUUGACUCACAAGUGAUUGUUAAAAACAAAUGGAGAGAUCAUGACUUUACGUGGUAUCAUGGUUAUGAAUUUUUUCAGUAAGCUCCGUGGUCAGUUGUAUGGAGUAUCAUGCUUUUUAGCAAUGUUUAAGCAAUUGAGACGAGACUAGCACUAGAACUUUUUCACUCUAGAAUGAUAUCUUUGUUGCUGCUUAUCCUCAUAAUGGUAGUUUCAUUUAUUGAUAUUCUCUUGGCACAGUCUUUCCACUAGUGGUUUUCUCAGUACCAUAUUUAUACUUACAGGAAUCGUUCAUUGCUUGCUCUUCUUUGUCCUCUGGAUACUCAUUUGGAAAAAUAAUUACUUAGAAUUUGGGUUAUAUAUUUCCUGUACUUGGCCCACCUCUUGAUUGUCUUCUAUGCAGUUCACUUGAUGUUUCUAUUCAGAAAGAGUCGGACUUGUAUUGCCAUCAAUUACCUUACCAUCUUCAACUUCUCCAUUCUCAUAAUCUGAUGAUUGAUGGCCCACCUAAAAAUCCAUCAAAAUCUUUUCUUAACCUGUUAGAGUUUUGAAAAUGAAGAUUUGUCAAUGCUGACGCAGACAUAUUGCUCCACUUGUUUACCCGAAAAUUAUACUCUGUAAAAAUGAGUGGAAACAGGAACUGUUUGAAUGGGGAAAAUAGAUAUCUUCUUAAAGGAAAUCUGCUAGUUCUUAGUAUUUUCUAGUGAUGGUAUGACAUGUAAGUAAUUUUGUAUGUUUUGCAGCAAUGGUUCCUGAGAAUAAUAGUCAUCUUUUGGUUAGAACAAGCUGUUCAUUGGUGGAAAUUUAUUUUGUACAUGUUUGCCUAAAGUUGCAUGGCUUUCACCAUAAAGGAGGAAGCCUUUCCAAAAUGAAUUACUAGUAGGUUUUGUCCUUGACCAUUGGAUGGAGGUGUGGUGACUCCGAUGCUUCCAUAAUUUAGGUCUGAGAAGAAGAUGACUUAUUGGAUAAGCUUAAAUAAAGCAUGCAGAGAGCAUGAUACACCAUUCAGAGCCCUCUAGACUGGUUAAAGCUGUCCAUUGAUGGAUGGCCAACAUACAACUCUUAUGGUAAGAAACUAUCAUAUAAAAAGGCGUGGAAGGACCGGGAUCCUCCGUGGUACAUGUUUUACAGUGUAAAGAGGUUUUGCAUCUUUGGAUAGGCGAUGUAUUGUCGGAAAUAAACGGCUGUUGCUCAUCUCUCACUUGAUGCUCUCUAUUUCUAAGAUGAGAUGAGUGAUGCAUUGCCUAUCCAAAUAUGCACAAUCCUUAAAGCAUGCAUAGGGAAGUGGCCCUUUUGAUAGACUUUUACAUACAUUAAAAUGUACAUAGUCUUAAUGAUACGUGGCAUUAGCUUAAUGAUUUGGAAAAUUUCCAGAAAUAUGAAAACAUGCAAAGGGAAGCGGCACUUUUGAUAGACUUUUACAUACAUUAGAUGUAUCUACACUAGAACUGUAUGAACCAUCUGGUUUAGCCACACAAAAAAAAAAAAAUUAUGAGGCCUCUCUCAAAGCCCCCAAGAUGGGGAGGCAACUCUCUCACGCCUCUCCAUCAACUUGCCCAUUAUUCCUAAGCCCAUUAUUCCUAACUUCUGGAAGGACAUGGAUGGUACUGACAAAUAUCCCCCCCCACACCCACCCUAAGAUCCUCGGUAGUGUAGGCCACCCCAACAAACCACCUUCUAACAUCAGGGGCAUUGCCUUCCAGUGGCCCAUCACUGACAACAUGGACCAACGGCACCAGUGAGGCAGUGACCAGUUAAAAGAAAAUGCUCACAUGUUAACAGAGAUCUGUACUCCUUGGUUCUUGGCUUUGUCUACCAUAUCAUGGUCACCAUUCAUAUCAUUUUCCUGUGCCACUCAUGGAACCUCUCAGUCCUUGGAAGAUUGAGCCGCUUCAGCUAGGUUUUCUUUUCAUAACUUUAGCACUAAAUAUGAUUUAUAAGCUAUUCAAAAUGGAGUUUGUGUAAAACAAGAUAUUCAGAUGGAGUUCGCAUCUUCAAAUUGAACCAUACCACUUUUGAUGAUAGCAGUAACUCAGCAUGGUGAGCAAGUAAAUGGGGUCUGACGAGCAUUAAGAAGUUCUGCAGUCAGGAUUGCCUGGCACCUUCUUCAAUGGUCAUUCCCCACAAACUUUCCAGAUUUCUAAAGAUAUCUUCACUGUUUGGCAGCUUACCCAACAUUAGUUACACUGCAUUAAUUUUCUAUGUCUCUGCUGUUUGGCAUCAACCAAACUGCUCAGAACCCAAUUAUUAAGUGUACCUUGCUCUCCCAUACAACUAUGCCAAAAGAAAGGGAACGACAUAUUAGUAGAUACAAGGGACCUGCCAUAUAUGGGACCAUCUGUACAAUGUUUUACUAAUGACACUUCUAGCUGCAGACAGAAUUCAGAAAAUGUUUCAAGUCUUCUAAUCAUCUAGAGCCAUUGAGACCAAGUGUCAGAUAGCCCCUGCUCUGUCCCUCUGAUCAAUAAUGAUUACCAUGAUAAACCUAAGAUUACAAUACCUGUGAGGAAUUAAGUCCAUGCCCUGAGGAGGAUAGCUUACAGCAUUUUACUUGAUGUAUCAACUCUGAGUGGAACACAAAGGCUGAAAGGGUGGGGCAAGCUGCAGCAAGGCCAUGUGACAAUCUUACUGGAUAAAUUGAAUGGAGACUCUAACAUUGAAUAACUUCAUCAUAGGUUUUUGAUGGAGGUGCCUCAAUCAUGCUUGUGGCUAUCAAGGCAUAACAUAACUAAGCAUUAUAAUUGUUUUUUUAAAAAAAAUCAUUUGGAUUUAUACGUGGUUCCAUUGAGUGCAUAUGCCUUUUGAGUGUGAUGAUUCUCUUUGUUAAGUUGGAAAAGUUUUUCCUUUGAAUGCCUCGGAUAGAAAACAAAUCUUGAUCAAACCCAUAUUUGUCAAAUGGAUACAAUCUGCUCAUAGUAAGACUUCAUAUGGGUUUGAUAUACUCUUUAUCUUUAACGAAUUAUCCAGUAUUAUGUAGACAUGCUUUCAGGAGAAAACCAAUCACUAGUCUCUAAACAAAUUUUAUGGAUGCAAUGUUUACAUCAAAAAAAUGUUCAUACCUCUUUUUGGAGAAUAAUACAAUUAAUGGUUAACCCUUCUUGAUAAAUUAUACCAAGAAAUAAGCUGGGGCCGGAUUUGAAUCUUGGAUGGUGCAACCCAGAAAUCGAGACCUAGAUAAUUAUAAUAUCAAUAGAUCUCCCUCCCUUUGCAACAGAAUCGAUAAAUAAAUGAAUAAGUAAACAGGUGGAUGCAUAUGUUGUACCCAAGAUUACUGCUAAAUCCUAUCCAUCUGAAUUAAACACUGUUUCAGCGGAUGAUAGAACGAUAAAGCUGCAAUCAGAUCCAUGAUUAUCCAUUUUUUAUACUUAAUAAAAAUGAACGAAGAGCCAUCACCUUUCUUCGCAAAUUGCUAGUCUUUUGGAAUCUCAAACAGUAGCUCUGCAAAUUACUGCCAAGAGUGUUCAUGACAGUCUGACUGCAAAUAACUUUCCAAAUCUAUGCUUUUCAGACUAUUCCGGUCAUGGUGCCUGAAAAAACUUCUAUUAUCAUUAUUUAACUGCAGUCACUUGUGGGCAUAUAUUUUAUGUGCUAUUCAAAAGAUGGGCGAUCCUCCUUGAUUAGUUAGUACUAAAUAUGAUGCUAAUUCAUACCUACCAAAACUGAAACUUGUGCCAGUUGAUAUUAGAAUAUAAAAGUUGCAAACAGCUGAUCUCAAACUAUUUGAUUACAUAAUAAAAAUAGACCAUGAUGUCCAUAGUAAAAGUGAUUAUCUUUGUCCAUGACCGUGCAAUGAAUUGAAUAAAUCAGAAGAUGAUUGCCACAUAUUUGCAGGUGCUCGACACUAAUAUGACCAAGAAUGUGAUGUUGAUGGGAUAUUGUGCAAACAUAGGCACAUAACAAGUGCGAGUGCUGCAGAUAUGAGAAUGAAAGUGAACAUGUUCGAUAAUUAAAAACGAGUACCAAAAUGUGGCACCGACCUGGAGAGGAACAUAGAUAUGUUUGGAAGGGUAACAGAUGUUGAAUGUUAAAUGCGAGGGGAUUCCAAAAAGAUUGUAUUGAUGGAGCAUGUAAUUCUUCAUUUAAGCGAACGUCGAAGGAGUUACAGAGUGGAUGCCUGAUAGAUUGUCUAGGGCUAUGUCACUUGGUAGUAGCCAAUAUUAUUGUAGCACUUUUUUAAAUAACCCUAAAAGGGUUAUAUAUUAGAUGUAAUGAGAGAUUCACUUGCUCAACCUUCUCAAACUGCUCGUAGCACCUUUUUUUGAUUCCAGGCUUUCAUAUAGUUUCUUUGUAUAAACUUGCUGUCAUCUUCCUUUGAUUUGGAAGAGAUAGAGGGUCCACCCCUGACCUUGUGAACUGUUGGGAGUUUUGUUUGCUUCCUGCUGCUCCUUGGCAGUGCUCCCUUCCAAAUGCAAGCAUUCAGCACACCUUUAAAUGCUUGACUUCUUGGGUUGGUUGUACACUUAAAAUGGAUUCAGUGCAUGUGCUUGCAUUCAUAAUGAACCCAUGGAUCUGGAUGGAGCCUAAGCAACUGGUGAUCUAAAACUACAGCAGCAAGAGAGCUAUGGUCUAAGAUGAGUCAGAUUGGUGGGACUUCCAAGAUCUGAAAUGGGUCCCCAAUAGGUCAAUUGUUUCAGCCAAGUAAUACAGAAUUCAGUUAUGCAAACAAUCCAAGAAUCAUCAAAAUAUGGAGUAUUCUAUUUUAUGGACACAUCUCAAGCGAGCAAGCACGAUGUGCCAUCUGCUUUUCGAUCCCUUGUGUCGUCGCCGCUUCCUCAUGACCAUGGAUGAGUCGGCGGCAUUGAUUGAUGGGCGAGUGAGUAAGUGGCAGAUUGUAAAUGCAUUCAUGAGUUUAGCAUUAGUGUAACAACCUAGAAACUUCAUCCAAAAAGCUAGUUACAACGUACUAUUUGAAUUUUUUGGCCCCAUAUAAGUACUCAAGUUCUAUCUGGUGCAUAACUAAUAUUGAACUAAAUACAUACUAACAUAGAUCCUAUAUACUCCCCUUGUUUAAGCCUUCACGUUCUUGCUAGAUUAAAGGUCCAAAUCAUAUCUAAUCAUAAGUACUAAAAAUUCAAUUACAAAUACUACGAUGAGCAUGUGGUCAACCCAAAAAGUCUCAAUGAUCAUUCUUCUAGUCCAUAAGAGUCAUGGGCUGGCUCCGCUUUGAUUCAAUUUGAAACAAUUCAAGACCUCGUCCGAAAAAACUAAGUGAAAGGUAUUAUUUAGAUUUUUUGACCUCGUAUAAAAAUUCAAGACCUACUCGAUGCGGGACUAAACAUAUAAUAUAUCCUUGCAAUCAACCUCAAAAUACAACAUCAAUGAAGUAACCCUUGUCAAGGAGGUUGUGAACGAGAUAAACUCAACAAGAACCAAAUCCAAAUUUAACGAUUUGGGAUAUACUGAUCAGAUUCCAUGUUGUUUGAGGUUCUUUAAUUUAAACAUAUUUGCUUUCAUUAUAAUUAACUAUUUAAUAGUUGACUAGUUAAUUAAAUGACCAGAAUGUCUGUAUUCAUGACCGUGACCCUUUUUUCCUGGUACAGGCUCCUACAUUGUGUUUGACCGAUAUUUUUAUUAAAUCUAAUAAAUGACAUCCAUAUCUCUUUGAUUAUGAGGAGGUUCUGUGUUCAUACGCUUGUACAUGGGUGUUUCCCAAGUGUUUUACAUGAGUAAUUCGUCCACUAUUUUUUAAAAAUGAUUGAUGGUAUUGUUCUGUGGUUAUCCUCAACGAAGAUUCAAAAUAAAAAUGGCAUGCAGAAUGCAUGUAAAUGACUAUAAAAUUAUUUAUUGCGUGGUUAGAAUAUGAAUAUGCAAAAAUCCAAUGUAAUAUAAGUUCCCCAGACAAAGUUUAGGAUGUAAAUGAUGUUAUUUUCUAACUUUUGGACUAAGAGAAUUUUCAUCAUCCAUUGUCUUUAUGGAAACUUUCUUAGAGACAUGGUGGCUCAGUAAUAUGGUGGUUAUUUGGCACUAUUGAGACCUCUUCUAACCAACCGAUCGAGUUAUUGGCAAUUUUAUGAGAGCUUUCAUUUAUCUUAUUUCUGAUUUUAUUAUUCUAUAUUUAGGCUGAUUAGAUGUCUUGAAUCCAAGAGGAUCUUAUUUUUGGCAUCUGCAUUCUCCAAUUUGCAGACGACACACUUUUUUUUAAAAAAAAUCGUGCUAGACAUGAUUAGCUGAGAACACUGAAGCUCAUCCUUUAUUGUUUUGAGUACAUCUCUAUCUCGAGAUUAACUUUGCUAAGAGCUUGGUAAUUAGGUUGGGAGAGCUUCUUUGAAUACUUCCCCUGGGCUUCUCUACUUAACUGCAAACCUGGGAGCUUCCCCACACUAUACCUUGGACUUUCCUUUUCUGAUUCUGGACUAAAGAGGCAAGACCUUAUGCCGUUGUUAACAAGAUUUGAUUGAAAGCUGGCUGGCUAGGCCUGGAAAAACUUAUCCAAUGGAGGAAGACUCGUGCUUUUGAACUAUGAUCGUUCGAAUGUGCCUUCCUACUUUAUGUCGAUUUUUGAUUUGCCGGCAUGGGUGACAAACAGAAUUGACGAACUGAGUUGAGCUAUCCUUUGGAAGGGAGUCUUAUUCUUCAUCCUUUGCAAAGACUGCAGCAUUUCUUUUGAUAUUGGUGAUGGUAUCUGGAACUCCACCAAAGUCUUGCUGGAAUUAAAGGACAGCUGGGGAGUCCUCUCUCUCUGUGUGGAUCGCAUGGAGAAGGAAAAUAGAGAAAGGCACUCGGACUCCUUGAAACCAGACUAAGAUCAAAUUGUUUUGGCAAUAUCUUGGAGUAUUUGGAAAGUUUUCUUAAACAAAGCUUCUUCACUUAAAUCUACGUUGCUUCUGUUCAAGGACUGGUCAGUUUUAGGGCCCAAGAGUGCUAGGUUGAGUUAUCUGAAGGUCUGGGAAGCACUCAGAACAAACCAUUGUUGAAUCCGACCCCUCUGUGUUUCUCCUCCUUUUUUUCUUGUUCUUUGCACUGUUUCUUUCUUCUUACUUCAUCUUAUUGUAAAUUUUUUAUUAACUUAAUAAAAUGACGGUGGAAUUUUUUUACCUCCUUAAACCUAAUUCAAAAGAUAUAUUUAGUCUGAUUGCUAGCUCAUUCUCUAUUAACCAACAGGUUUUUAGAAUGCAGUGGUUAAUUCACAACAUCUGAGGAACCACUAAACCCUCAAAGCUGAUUUUUAUUAUUUAGAGAACAUAUUUAUUAGAUUGGGCAACUCAAUCUCUCUUCCCUUCAGGGAGGGUACAUUCCUGCGGCACUGUUCAUAGCAUAUAAUAAAACUUCUGCCUCUGCCCACUGGGUUUCCACAGCGUGAGUAUUGGUGUUUGAGCAAAGAGGAAGACCUUUACUAGGGUUUUCCUUCUGACACUGGGAUGGCUAUUGCAAUAGGACUGCAAAGCUAGUACAUUCCUCAUGAGGAUGCAUGCAAGCCCCGUCAAUAGUUUUUUUCUCUGGGAUGUACUGUUCUUGAUUGGGUGGAGAAGCGCACGAUAGGAUAUUAUUGCAUAGUAAAAAGGAAAUGAUUUAUUAAAAUACCUCGAGAAGCGUUAAAGAAUUCUAUCUUGGUAUUUAGCAUAAAAUCAUAUCGUAGCAGUGCUUUAAUGUCAACGCAAUAAAUGCAAUGGAUGCAGGAACUCAUGGAACCCCACCUGAAAAAACCUAUUAACUGAUUCAGAGGUGACUCUGACUGAAAACUGAGCUAGUUUCAUACGCAAGUGUGAAACCUUUUUGGGACUUAAUUUGGUGUAAUCAAGGCAUGAAAGUCACAAACAACUCUCCACCAAAUUUUUUUUUUAAAAAAAAGUCAGAAACACAGACAUGCACAAACCUCAAAGCAUGAAGGAAAGCUGCUGCUCAACUGACCUGCUGACCACGAAGAAAGACACGGAGGGAAAAUUAAUGACCCUUUUUGGCUGCUCCUUUUAGUCACGACCCAUGAACCUGUUCAUAUCAAUCUUGUUAUAUUUUUUUAUCUUUUUCUUUGUUGGCUCCAUCUACUUCAGAUGGUUUACUGACAGCCAGCUAACCCCCCUCUCAGGUUAGAUAGGCGAUAGGGGAGAGAGAGGGAGGGAGAAAGUUAUGUGUGCAUUUACCAUGGUUGGGGUUUCACAGAGGAGAGGGUGUCAGUACGCAAUGCUUGGGCUUUGAAAAGAAAUGCGUGUAUAGGCCUUUGCAGGGCUCGCGCUACCAGACACCACGCUAGAGUUUCAUUUGUCAAGCGAGAGACGGACAGGCGGACAGCCAUGCAUUAGGAGAGAUGGCUAGGGAUAUAGAGAGGCCCUCCUUAUAUGCCACACGUACGUGUGGUGAAUGGACACAGCACGUGUGGUUUGAGUCAGAAGGCCAUGUUAAAUAAGUGGUAACUGUGAAAGAGGAAGGGCUGGGUGAACCGGGGGGGUUGAAAAGUGAGUGGAGAAGCACUUGGAUGCUGCAAACCUAAUCACUCUUUUUUACACACUCUCAUCUCUUCUUCUUAUUCCAUCUCUUACCUCCUUCCCCCUCUGUCCAGGAUGGCUCUGAAUCAGUGUAAUGGGAGCCAAGGCUUGAGGAGCUUCCCGCCCUCUUCUUCUUCUUCUUCUUCCUCCUCCAAGGGGUUGUUUGCUGAGAUGGGUUCUCUCUCCAUCAAACCAGCUUCUUCGGUGGAGAGCUAUUGCUCCACCAAGGGCUCAGAGAAGACCAGUUGGACUUCGUCUUCUAUGAGGAACUAUAUUGGCCUAGAGGACCAUCCACCACGAAACAAUGAGGAUGGUGGUGUGAAGUGGUGUGAUGCCAGUGAUGGUUUUGGGGAGAACCACGUCAAAUCCACUGGAGAAGAGAGCCCAGAGGGAGAGAACACAAAUGAGGGACCAUUGGGAGGAAGGGAGACUGCUGCUGACUGUGGCCAGUCAAAGCUCUGCGCCAGAGGCCAUUGGAGGCCUGCGGAAGACUCCAAGCUCAGAGAGCUAGUGGCGCUCCAUGGCCCUCAGAACUGGAACCUCAUAGCAGAGAAGCUGGAGGGCAGAUCAGGUGAUGGAAAAAAGAAAAAAGAGCAAAACACCAACUACUAUUUGUUGUUGUUGCUGUUGUUAUGACUGCUUUUGUUGCUAUAAUAUAGUUAAUUAGUCGGUUCCUUUGAAUCUGAAGGAUGAGAUCUUGAUUUGUUUUUGUUUUGUUCUAUUUCUUUUUCAUCAUUUGUUGUGGGGUUGAAGGGAAGAGCUGUAGACUGAGGUGGUUCAACCAGCUGGACCCCAGGAUCAAUAGGAGUGCUUUCACCGAAGAAGAGGAGGAGAAGCUAAUGGCUGCUCACAGAUUGUAUGGGAAUAAGUGGGCUAUGAUUGCCAGGCUCUUUCCUGGGAGGACAGACAAUGCAGUCAAGAACCACUGGCAUGUGAUCAUGGCAAGGAAAUAUAGGGAGCAGUCCAAUGCCUACAGUAGGAGGAAGCUUAGCCAAGCUGUCCCCAGGAGACUGGAGGAAACUACGGCAACCUCAGUAGCCUUUGGUUUCAACACCAAUCUACACCUCCCCUUCGCACAUCCUUCUCCUGCCAUGUGUGGGUCGAAUGGCUUAUAUCACAUCACAACUGGUGAGAGCGGAGAGGAUUCAGUCUCAUGUUAUUGUGGGUUUUCUUCAGAUCAGGCACCUUAUGAUUUCCUUUCUGGUGUGUUCUUCCUAUCCCCAAUCAUUACUACUAUCUUCAUCACAAUUAUUGUCAUUUUUCAUGGGGAAACCCAUUUUCUUCUAAUUUUAUUUUUUGCAUAAGAGAAAAGAUACUAUCAUUUUCAACACCAUCAUCAUACUAGUCACUGCAGUUUCUGGCGCAUUUUGGUAAUUCCUGUCCUUUCUCUUGUUGGUUUUUUCAUAGAGGAGGCCCUAGGCCCAUGGCCUAUUGAUUACUAUUCUCCUAGUUGAAUUGUGCAUUAGUUCAACAGUACUUGUGAAGCUGUCUUCUUUACUGCCUGCAUAGCAUAAAGUUUUCUUCAUUUCCUCGCACUUCAUGAAGUUCGUCUGAAUUUCCUUGCACUUCAUGACUUGAAUUUUUUCGAAAUUUGCUUGGAAUGGGAAGAAAGAUACAAAACUAGUUCCUGCCAAUACACGCAGAAGGGCAAGCUUGCAGAGAGAAAAACUGUACCUGAUACCUUUGUUUAUUUUCCAGUGAUCAGUAGGUCAACAUGCACAGUGCUUAACUAUAAGAGAAAAAAUAAAUCUUUCUCAAAAAAAAAUACUGAGGGAAAGCAAAAAUAAAGAUACAAAGAAGUGACUGUCAUAUCUGAUGGUGAAACAGUUCUUCAUUGUAUGCACACAACUGCUUUACUGUUUGGUUGGUUCAAUUUCAGGGGUCAAGGCCCAAGACAAGACAAGAAGCUUCCACAGCACCAACAGCUGGUGUUGGCAAAGACCAAGAGACGAGCCCUUCAUGGGUUCUUACCCCCAACAUCCAUUUAUGGUGGCUAUGCAGCAGUCUCGCUACCCAUCCUACCUUUCAGACUACUCCACAGCAUCAGCAGCAUCAGGAGUUUCAGCUGCUGAAAUAUCACCAUCAUCAUCAUUCAAGGAGAACGGAGAAAAUGGCCACUUUGAAGCCACAACCUCACCACCUUUCAUAGAUUUCCUAGGAGUAGGAGCCACUUGAGGCACAGAAGGAGAAACACAAGAACUGAAGAUAAAGAAGGCCCGCAAGGAGAGGUUAGUAACACAGAUGACAUGAUGGGUAAAUGAGAGCGCUGGUGUGAGUUAGGUAGCACAAGUAACAAGGGACAGUAGGCACUUGAGAUCUUAUUUCCAUAUGAGUGGCCACCUGGUCCACCUCAUGUGGAACAAAAUCCUUUCAAAGAUGAGUUAUAGUUAUUUGAGUAUCAAUUUGCAAGCCACUCUAAUGUUCUUCCCCCACUCUCGCUGAAGUUGACAGACAAAGGAAGUUCUUAAUGUGAUCAAAAAAAUUUUCUAGCCCAUAGGAAAUUCGACCAAUUAAAUGUAAAAAGAACAAAGUAUUGGCAGAAUAGAAGCAAGACAUGGAUAAGCCUUUACGCACGAUUGUUGCGUGCAAGGGGAGCAAAACGGACACCACUAAAGUCACCACAAAUGCUGUUGCCAUCCCUCUGUCUCUAGAGAAACAUGACAGACGUGUGGAAGCAAACUGCCGACACGCAUUAAUUCCACACUAUACCAAUCAUGCUCAACUGUUCAUCUCUAAACAACUUGAUGCUGUUAUUCAUGGUCUGGGUCGGGUUUUUCUACAUCGUUAAUCUCUAUACCAAUAUCUAGGACAAUUAGUUGCACUUCAAAAAUCAAACCAUAAUUAACUUCUUUUGUUUUACCUCAUCUAGUUACACUCUUCUUAAGCCUACCUUUCCUCUUUGCAACCAGUUCCUAGAAAACGUCUAGAGGUCAAGCUAGUAAAUAAACAAGGAAAAGGUGCCUGCCAGUCUGUUGGUCAGUUCUAAUUUGCUCAUUAUACCAACAACCUGAAAGUUUUGUGAGUUGGUGAUUAAUUAUGGCCCCUUUUUGCAGCCCAAUUUACCUAAAGAACUCUCAUCACCUCUCACCUUUUGGAUGCAGAAAUCAACUCAUGUUUAGUUAGAUUAAGUGCUCGGAACAGCAGGCGUCCACAUCCCCGAAGUACUUUGGAUCGACACAUCCAAUGCAAGGCAGUUUUGGUACAUUUUUGAAAGAAUCAAGGCAUUGUUUUAUCGAAUCUCACUUCCACUGAGCCAAGCGUGCGGAAUGUUGGAUAAUAAACUUGAUUCCUAAGGUGAUGCGGCAUCCAACUAGCAUCCUAGUUAGAGAGUCAAAGUCAAGUCAAUGUCAAAAGGUGAAAGGCUAAGGAUCACAAGAGUCAUCACUAGUUAUAAAAAGUUAAGAGUCAUAAGUUAUAGAAUGUAAAAAAUCAUAAGUUAUAUGAGAUUUAAUUAAGAGCCAUGGGUCAUGCGUAUAUCAAGAGUUAUGAGUUAGGAAUAUUAAGGGUCAAGAGUUAUAAGUUACAUGUAAGAAUUUCUAGAGUCACAUGAAGUCUAUAUGAAGGGUUAUAAGCAUAUAUUUGUAAGGGAUGAGUUGAAUGAAAAUCAUUCUUCUUCCAAACUUUGCUCUUGAGAGUUUCUACCAUCUUCUUCUUGAGUGUUCUUCCUCAUUUUCUAAUACGAAAAUGUCAACUUACACCUCAACUCCACUUACAUCCUAUCACUUGCUCCCUACGUUUUAUUCCAUGCAGCUACGCUUAGCUCCCUCGAGGACUUGCUGUACUUUGUUGAUCACAGUCGUCAUAGUGUUGUUGUUCGAAGAAGUGGAUGGCCUGAACCCAAUUUUGGCCCCUUUAAAUGUCCAAGAUAAGGUUAACUUCUUAUACAACUUUUUUGGUGCGCAAAGGUCCUUUCCACAGCAGAGAAGUGAGCAACACAACAAUGGAAGGCAAUCACUGAUCACAAUAAGACGCCUUUGUAGUAGAAACAAAACAGUGAGAUAGAGACAACAGGCUCAGCUUGCUGCUGUAGGAUGGCCUGGUUAAAGAACUAAUUAAGGCCUGCAGAGAUUCUCCUAGCCUGUUACAUCAACAUGGCAACACUUAUGAGCAGGAGGAAAAGCUGUUUUUGCUCAACAACAAGAGAAUCAUGGCAGAGGACCUUAGGGCCUUCAUUCCCAUGAGGCAACUCUUUUUUUAACCCCACUUUUUUUGAACUCGAUAGAGGGAAUAAGGGCUUACCUAAAGUGCAGACAGUACCCACAAAACGACCAUGAGAUGACCUCGAAAGGGCCCCGGGCGAAGGCCUAGCAUAGGCUUUGGUUAGCAACCUUUAUCCAGUGACCUCUCACUCUCUUCCCUGUCAUUCUUCAUUUUCUUUCCAUCACGAGUCCAUUCAAACAACAAACAUUCAUAAGGAUUUUUAACACUUUCGAUGGCCAUAAUUUGCGGGCUUCUCUUGGGUAAUCUAUAUAAGCUGUUGCUCUCCUGUUCUAUUGGCAUAUUCUUGAAAGCAAGUGGCCUAAGAAGAAUUAUCCCAGCAUUACUUUAAAUUGAUUGGACUCGAAACUUAAAAGCCUUGGAAUGGACUAACCACACUGCAGUCUGUAUUUGUUAGGAGCUUCUUCCAGUUGAUAAGAUUGAUAGAUGUAUCAUCAUUUAUCAUCCAAUUCCAAGCGACUCUAGAUUUACCUGUUAAUAUUGAUCAACACGGAGCAUUCUCUUACGUGUCAGAAAUAAAUUCUGUUGCAAUGUUAGUAUCAUAAGAUUUGCAGUUAAAUGAAUAAACAGGUCUUCUACUCACUAUGCAGAAAACAAGUUCUAAAUUAAUGAAUAUAAAAACAAAUAAACACAUGAUACAAUGAUGCGGAUUCUGAUAAGCAAUGGACGACCAUUUUUCUGGGAAAAAAAUUAGUAAAUCAAUUGAGGAAAGACAUAUGGAUCAGCGUCUGUUCAAAAAACAAUACAAGAAUAGUUGCUAACUGAAGUUUUUACAAGAAUAGUCUGCUGGCUGAUGACUUCUCCAUUGUUUUCUAUUUUCCUGGUUGGUCACAGGGAGAAGUGAGAGAAGGAAAAAGUAGGAGGUCGGUUGGUAUUGCUUUGAUGAGAGGAGGGUGAUGGAGGUGAAGGUUUUAUAGAAGGCUAAGUAGCUGUUUGAAGGACAGCUAGUGCAUUUGUUGAGAGAGGAAGGUGCCUAUGGUGGCCAUGGAGAGAUACGAAGGAGCCAGGAUACUAAUUUUGUGGAACUUGUUGGCUCUUGACCUGGUGGAAUUUUCCUUGAAAGAGAGGAGCAGGCAGGCCUGCUUUUUUGGAACAGUUGUUACAGACACCUGCUAGUAAACUCAAACGUUUUGUAGGCCCAGAAAGAAAACUAAGAGUUAAGGGUUAUAUUUCAUUAAAGGACCAUAAACUUCAUAAGGUUGGAAUUCAGUGAGCAAGCAAAGGUAUGGAGGUAAACACAGUUAGCUCUAGACCAAUAAAACCCUAGCAAGAGUUGCCUAAAACUUGGCUCGAGCUAACAAUAACGUUCAUUUUUAUUGGAGACUCGGUCCGAAGUUAACGCCUAUGAGUUGACUUCCAUGUUCCAUUGUACCAUUAUUCGAUUAUUAGUUGCUAAGGAUCUUGGGGACAGUCCUCAAGUCAAGACAUAGGUACAGGUGUGGGAAACUGGAAGGUGCACCGGUGGCCAUGUCGCUCUAAAUGGAAGGACUUCACUAGAAGCAAGAAAUUGGAUGAAAAAUUGGUGCAAAGUUGAUUUGAUAUUGAGGAGACCAUCGAUCAUGUCGUUUUGUGGUGCCCUAGGACUAGGGCGAUUUGGUGGAGGGCCUCUGGGCUACUACCUCAUUCAGUGGACCGGCACAUGAUUUGAUCCUUUUGUUGAGGGCUUUCAUACGGAGCCCUACCACUCGUGAGGCCGGGAUCUGGAGGACAUACCGGACCUACCAUAUAUGGUUGGACAGGAAUGCCAGUUUGUUUGAUGGCAGGAAGUCGUCUCUGUGGUUGGUGGUGGACAGAGCUAUGCGUCAGGCAGGGAGGUCUCUACCGCUACCACUUUGUUCUCUUCCGAAAUGACCAAGGACAUCUGGGGUACCCCAUUUGCUAUCUCAGCGCCCAAAUUCGCCUUUGUUUCUUGGGUGCCCUCAACCCUUGGUCAUGCUAAAGUGAACGUUGAUGGUAGUAUGUCGGGGGACGGAAUAUCUGAUGGUGUUAGUUUUGUUAUCUGAGACCACUUCAGCAGCUUGUUAGCAACGGGUGGCUGUCAUACGCCUGAUCUCACUGUACUGGGGGCAGAGCUCUGGACAGCUUGGGAGAGGCUCUUUUAUGCGAGGCGGGUCUUGGGAGCCAAGCGUGUAUGCCUUGAGGGGGAUUCCUCCAUUAUGAUAGACUGGAUCCGGAGAGUGGACAGGUAUGGUGACGGUCACCCUCCCAUCCGAGAGUCUCACGGAUUGGCCCAGGAGUUGAGAGAUGUUUAGGUAGCACAUGUAUUUAGGGAGGCCAACAGUGCAACAGAUUGGGUCGUGUCCUUCGUCGUCCGGUAAUCUAGGGAGUUUUUUUGAACAUCGAUAGGGGACAUACCCCAACUUUUAUACUUUUUGCUUUCUUUUAAUCUGGUUAGAUGUACUCAUAUUAGAUCUAUAUAAAUUGCCGUAUUUACCAAAGAAAAAAAUUAAUUUGAUAUCACCUAAGGGUGAUGCUAACUGUAUUUCCUCUGAUUUUUUUUUUAGACACGACUAUUUUCCAAGUACUUUUUUCAUAAAGAUGGCUGGCGGAACGGGUCAAGGAACCUGCUGUAGAACAUUCGGUGCUAGUAGUAGAAAUGAAACACUGAUGAUAGUGAAUUUUCCAUGAAAACAGUAUUUUUUUUCCCCCGUAGAUUCCAAGCACACUUCUAGCUACUUGUUUGUUUUCUCUAGGAGGCUCCUUCCCCAGAUCAUUUCCACUAACUUUUGUUUCUCAAGUCCAUCUCUUGGGAUUCACCACAAACUUCUUGCGAUGUUUAUUGAUCUUUCUUUACUUUUUUUUCCAUGAAAUUUGAAUGCUUUCCUUGAAUAUUCUAACAAACUCUCACAGCUUAUUCGUGUUAGAAUUUACAAAUCGUAAAACGAUGUAAGUUGAUCGUCCCAGUUUUUCUUUUUUUUGCUAAAGAAAAGGAGAAUACAAACUCUUAGGUUUUCCUGUCCAUUAUUAUCUGUCAAGAUGUAGUAGAACAUUGAAUGUGUUAAGUUGGGUUGUUAACAAUAGCAUGGGAAAUAUCCUACAAAGAAAACCUACAUGAUGAGGGGGCCUACAAGCAGAAUGAAAGGUUAAGUAAUGAUAGCGUAAUCUAACAUGAUUAUUUUAGCAUUUGAGAAUGAUAUCAGUAUGCAUGAAACUUUAAAUGUAAAAGAAAUCAUUAGAUUUCCCACAAACAAACAAAAACAUUGGAUACAAAAUAUCUUUGGAAAACAAAUAAGGAUGAUUAUAGGGAUAGUUUUAGAAGCAGCUAUAACGCAAAAAAAAGAAAGGUGGAGAGUGAAAGAAAGCUGCGGUGCGACAAUUACAGCAGCUGUAACUGAAGAUAGUUGGUAAAUAAUUUUUGAUAUACUAUUGGCUUGUUUGAAAUAUAUAUGUGGAGGAUUGACAUGAACAAACAAGCAAAGGACAGUGGAACAAUUAACAAAUGCGAUUGUAAAUUUUUUCGCAGAAUUUUCUGAGUCUUUGGCACAGAUAAUCUUUGAUGGCAAAUGCCAAACCACGUCUCCUAAAUGUAAAAAACCAGGGAUACAAGUCAUGAAAUAGGUAGGAUAUCAACCAGCCAUAAACUAGGCAAAUGGAUGCCAUGCCCCCUCCGAGCAAAUCUCAUACCACCAUUAAUGCUGUAGGAAAUAGGACUACGACCACCAUAGCCACUGCUAUAGUUUAGGCCGAACUAAAAAUAAUGGAUGAUUAGGCCGCCUUCUUUGCCAUCACUCUCUGCAUGCAUGCCUCUCGAAAUCCUUCUAUCUAGCCUAGCAAACAGUAUUCUCAGGAAGCCAAGCCUUCUCCCAGGUCCAAGAGGUACUCCCUUCCUCGUCCCCAUAGAGAGCUUCUAAUAGGCUAUGUUCAGCUUGUUGUUUCUCGUACUUCGGCAAGAAAUUCAACGAGAAGGCCAUGAGAGAGAUUGAUGCAACCGGAAGCAUUGAGACACCUGCAUGAGAAAAGGUCUAUUCUCUAAUUAAGCCUCGGGAUUAUAUCAUUGAAAUAGUAUUAAUGACUAUAAAGGUAUAUUUUUGCCUUUUCUAAACAACUUCAAGCAUUAAAAAUCCAUAAAUUAUGACUUUGUCGUCUCAACAAAAAAAAAUUUCGUACACAUCUUUCUAAAUAUUAAAAUUUGUAUAAAUAUUCUCUCAAAUUUAAUAUUUACAUAUAUCUACUCCAAUAAAAUAUUUGUUUUGCAUAUAUAUUCUUCUUUUUUCUUUUUUUCAUAUGUGCCCACACCAUCUAACACUAUUAAAUUAGCAAUUUAAAAUUAAAAAUAACUAAAAUAUUUUUAAUGGGUAGACAUACAAAAAGAAACAUUUAUAAGGAUAUACAGCAAAUAACAACUUUACGAAGGUAAUUAUGCAAUUUUACAUAUGUAGGAGGGUUUACAUGUAAAAAAAUCUAACUUUUUUUUUCUAUUUCAAUUUGUUUUAACACUCGGAUUUGUCUCGCUUCAUAAUAUUUUCUGUAAAAAUAUUGCUCGAAAAAAGAUUCAUUCGAUUACUAAAUAACAAAAAGAGUUAUGAAAGUUCUUUCACUAAUCAUGAGAUUAUUUUAUUUUAUUCUUCUUCAUUUACAACAACCAUUAUCUCUUAUUUUAUCGAAACAAAGCUUAUAGUAUUUAUUGUUAUAGAUGUAUAUAUAAAAGUAUGUAUUAGAAUACAGAAAAAGAUUAGAAUCUCUUAAAAGUAUAUGAUAGAUUGUAAUAAUUAAGCUUCCUUACUACUACUAUACUCAUAGAUGGAAGAACAAUAUCAAGCAUCCCCUAGCAAAAUUAUUCAAGGACUUCAGAAUCCUUCUGACUUACUAACAAUCUCCACGGUCAUAUCGUAGAAAGCCACCCCUUACAUAUGUAUCUUAAGCAAGUUUUCUUUGAAGCUUCUUUUUUCUAAAAGAAAAAAAAGAUUUAAUAUAUCAGGCCCAUCUUGUCAUAGUAAUAUUAAAUCGGCUAUCCUGCACAUGAAAAAAUUUCUACAUCUAAAAGAUAAACAUUGCAAAUCUCGUACACUAAAAGAUAAAUAUUGCAAAUCUCUCGCAACACUUUUCUUUAAAUAGUUUUUAAAGUUAAAGGCGAGACCUAACUAUUUUUAUGUAAAAAAUGAUACAAUGAAGAACUAAACCAUCUAUGGUGGAAAAAGGAGUUGAGGUUUAGUUUUAAUUCCGAACUAAAAAGUAAAAGGGACGGUCGAGAAAGAUCAAAAAAUUUUUAAAAGGAGGUAGAGAGAUAUUAGUUUCCAAUAAGGCUCGUUAACUUGUUACUACUUUAGGAGUAAAAAGAUAAUUUAAAUAAAUAUAAUUUUGGCUAAUCACGUCAGUUGAAACGCUAGAUCAAAGAUAUUUAUAUAAAAAUAGUAUUUUGUGAGGGCAUGCACAUAAAUAUCAAUUUAGAGAGUCUUCAUGUAUAUUUUAAUAUUUAGAAAGGUAUUUAUACAAAAAUCUAAAUUUUUUUUACAUCUGACAGAUGUUUUUUUUUGCAUGUUUGCCAGUUAAGGAUAUUUUCGUCAUUUCAAUUUCAAACUGCUAACUUUUUAGCGGCAUUAAAUGGUAUGGGUACAUAUGAAAAAAAAGAAAGGGUAUACAUACAUGACAAGUGUUUGAUAAAGCUAUAUAUGUAACUAUUAAUUUUAGAAGGAUAUUUAUAUAAAUUUAAAUAUUUAGGAGGGAUGUGAAGAAAAAAAUUCUAAAAAAAAUGAUGUACAAGAUAAAUGCUAUUAAAAAUGAUAAAUAUUGUAAUUAUAAGGCCAAGGCUGUUGGAGGAGCUGCAAUAGAGAUUUUAAUUUGCCACGUUGGUCCUCAUGUGCUUUGGUAAAAAAUUAGACGAGAAGGCCAUCUGUGACAAGGUGCAGGAUAAGGAGAAGACGACGGUGGCUGCGGCGACGCCUUGGAUGGCGCAGGCUAAGAGACAUGGCCGCGUGGCAGGAGAUCGCCGAGAGCUUGACCGGUGGCGCGUCUCCAACGACCCCAUCAUUAAAUCGGAUCCAAAUAGCUAAAUCGGGCCGGCCCGAUCGGGUUUGGAUCCGGGCGCGGGACCGGCCCGUUUUUAGCCCUGUUUCACCUGCACCAUCCAAAAUCGGAAGCCCCCCGCCGGAUAGAGUGUGAGAUAUGAGGCGGCGGAAGGCGACGACGGGCCGGCGAACCGCCGCGUCACCUGGCCGGGAGCGCCCCCUCGACUCGCUCGGCCUCGAACCGGUUCCCUCUUCCUCCUCCGCCGCCUCCCGCCGCUCCUCCCGGGUCUCUGCCUCCCUCCUCUUCGAUGGCCACGCCGGGUUCCCGGCGGAGGAGGCCGGGCCAGACUUCACGUCGGAGCUCCAGGACGGCGGACGGUGGUCGAGCCUAGCGGAGCCCAGGACCUUUCCCCACAGCGUGAAGCAGCAGUGCUGGGACAAGGCGGAGAAGGUGAAGGGCCGCGACCCCGACCGGUGGCGCCGCGACCCCCUCGGCAACGUUGUCUUCCGGAAGCUCGUCGGCUGCCCCGGCUGCCUCUGCCACGACUAUGAUCACGUACUCCCCUACUCCAAGGUGCCGACUUGACUUGAUGCUCUUCCUCUACACGUUUCUAUUUAUUCUAAAAAAAAUUAGGUCUUUUAGUAUUUUCCCUCUUAUUUGGGGGUUUUGUAAUGCAACUUCUCCUCAAAUGGAGAAAAAAUUUGCUGUGAUUUUUCUAUCUGAUUUCAUGUUUGUAGUCCUAAUCUUGGAUUUGUGGGGGCAGGUUUUAGAAUCAGGGGUUCUGUGAGGUGGUUUGCCUAUAUAUGAGAAGGUGUUGAGAAAGGAACGAUUCUUUUCAUAGUUUAUAGCGGUUCUUCUUGGAUUCGUCUCAAAGGAUGAUCAAAAUCUUAUCUCAAAGUUGUUGCAUUGAUUUGUUUCUGCUUUAGUUUGGUCGCUGCCUUCCUGUGAGAGCAAGUGGGAAUUUUCUUGGUACACAAUGGGAGAGGAAUUUGUGUGCUUGAAAAUUCUAAUCUUGUAAGAAGGUGGUAAUUGAGGUACAAAUCGUAGCUUGUUGAUGGGUUGGGAGAAAAAACCGGAAAUAAUUACACCAGAGGUUUUUUGUUGAAAAGGAAAAGAAAAAGAAAAAAGCAUUAGAGAUUUUGGUAAGGAAAUAGUAUAACCAGAAUGAGAUCUGUGAACUUCAGGCUUCUAGUAGAUAGUCAUUUUUGCAAAAUUGCAAAUGCAUGCACCUCAGGUUUUAAUCUGUACACACAGAGGUUUAAAUCUAUACACCUCAGACCUGAAUCUGCAUAUAUUGUGAAAUUUGAACCUAUUAUGGAAGUUAGAUUGCCUCAUCCGUGAAUGAACAAUAAAAAUGCACCACAAAGCAAAAGUAGCAACUUCAAACAGAAAUAACAAGAGGCUAAGAAUCUUUACAUGGGUAACCCCAUAACCAUAAUUAUCUUUUCCAGCUAGUUGGGGUCGGCUACAUGGGGAACCCAGCAAUGUGGAAAAAAUGAGGGGUUCUAGUCUAGAUCAACCAUGGACAAUCCAUAAUGAUGGCAUAUUGGUAUUAUGGUUUAUGCUCUAGUCCAAGUUAGCGGGUGACCACUUCAAAAGAACACCUCUUGAAUUUCAAUAAAAAAUUAUUUAUCUUAAGAAAGUGGAUUUCUUUGUUCUUCUCUCUCUGCUAAGCUCUGCACAUAGAACAGAUAGAACAUCAACAUUUUUUUUUCUUUCCCUUUUUCUUGAAGCUUCACAAAGGAGAAUAAGAGAAUCUCAAAAGAUCAGGGUUAACUUUCCCUAGGUUCCAAAACAAGCCAAGUCCAUUCAAACUUGUUGUUUUUUUUUUGGUGAAACAUUCAAACUUCGUGGAAAUAGACUUUUCAAGUGUAAGAAAAUGAGAGAGAGAGAAUAAGAAUGAUAGUGUGGAGGAAAAUCAAUUGGCUGCCCUUUCAUACAUUAUGACUUCUUUUUGAUUAUUUAUUUUCCUUUUAUGUGGGUCCUGCUCAAAUAUAAAUACGAAAGCCUUAAACAGGCGAAACCACAGAAUAUGCACUGAUAGAGUAUAAAAUGAUGACUAAGGAGAUGGAAUGAUACCUUUCAAUGAAGGACUCUUGAGGCCAAUAAAGGGGGGGCAUCAGCAUAGCUAUGAGGUUCGCACUGGAGGUAGGAACUGUGAUAAUUCUAUAAAUGCUUGCAUCAACUCUGGUUUUAGCCAUCAGUGAGGAAGAGUGAUUAAAGGGGAUUCCUGAAACUUACUUCAAAUGGUUGAGAUAAAUCUUGCUGACAAAAGAUUUGGUUUUGAUUGUUAAUGUUGUUGUUGAGCAGAAGAUGAUUGGCGAUGUAACAAAAAUAAAUGUUGAGGUUCUGAACUGAUUUUGAAUUGGUAAGUUUAGGGUUAGUUUUUGUCUGUUGAAAGGUUCACUAAUUGAAUUUUUUGAGAUUUAACCACCCUCCUCGUCUCUUUUUUUUUCAGCAUAUAUCUUGGAGUGAGGAAAGAGAUUUGAAAUCCAUCUCUGAUAUAAGUAAGUGGAUAGAUUGGAUAUGUGUUAUGUGCCUUGUGUGAUCUCCACCUGCCGAUGAACUUUUUAAAGAUCUUGGGUUGAAUGCUAAAAGAAAGGCAUUGGUGCAAGAAAGUGAAAUAAUAAAGGUUGCUGUAGAUAUGGAAGGAAAGAAAAGGUCACAUUAUUGCUGGUUAUUAGAACCUUUUCUCUUAAAAGAGGUUUAGCUACUUUGAGACAAGCAGUUUAGCUACUUUGAGACAAGCAGUUUCGCUACUUUGAAGUCAGAGCUUAAGAAUUAAAAGUUAAUCUUCUUUUCCAUUCAAUAAUUUUUUAUUGAUUUUUUUUUGGAAACAAAAAGAAGAAGGGUAGUUUGAAGAGCCAUACCCCUUUUGUGAAAACUCAUAUGAAAGUUUUAUCUUUAAGUAUUAAGGUCCUAUUUCCUAAAAUUUGAUCACAUCAGAUAUUAGAACAACAAAGAAAUUUUAUAAUUAUGUGAUCACAUUUAAGUGUUAUCAAAAUAAUUGGGCCUAUCAAAGAGAGUGUCAAAUAUCUUGGUUGGAAUAUGCAGAGAUUCAGGAUAUGAAGUUCUUUCAGCUAUAACUUGGUGUAUGACGGGACUUAAUGAGAUGUUAGCUUUCUGAUAUAGUGUACAAGAAGCAACCUUUGGUCAUGAAGUCAAAGUCUUAUCUCUUUAUUCUUGUAAGUUGUGUUUCUAGUAAGUUGUGUUCGGCUUGUAGCUCACUUUAUCCAUCCUCUUCUCUUGUUGUGAAUGUUUGUUCAUCUAUUCAUCCUUUUAUUUGGCCUUUUCAAAUCCCCACCCACCCUCAUCACUUUCCCAGAAGGAAAAACUAAAAAUGAUGAUCAUUAUAACAGCAAAAUGAAAUCACAUCUUCAUAAAAUGUAGAAGAGUGGGACAUAUAUAAUGCAUGCUGAAAAAGGAUGAAAAAUCAGAGUGGUCCUCAUAUACAAGACCAGAAAACCUAUUUCUACUUUUGUAAAAUAUGUAGCGGACAAUUUAAGAAGAAGGUUUCUAACUUCAAAAAAGUUGUAGGUUUUGGAAAUACUGGAGUUAAUGGAUAAUUUGUAUAUUAGAGGAUGCAUCCUUGUUUUUUUGGAUAGGUGACAACUAAGUACUGAUUAUAUCCAUACAGGAUAGCAGUUUAAAAGGUCUGAAACCAUGGACACUAAAGCAUGAAUUUUGAUGGUAGAGGGCGAUGGUAUUCUCUUGAAAUUUUGCAUGGUAAUAUAUUGCUUUUCAAACCUCUUUUCUCUAGUUUAUCACCAUGACCCCAGAGACCUCUGCAUUAAUUCUCAUAUCAUUGGAAUGUGUGGUCAUUCAAAGGGAAGAAAUGUAGCAGUUUUUGUUCUUUGGAAAUUGGUGUCUAUGAUUAUAAAUUGUUUAUGUGCAUAACAUUGAAAACUGAAAGGGUGGAAAAUGCAAAAUGUUCAUGAAAAUUAGAAUUCUGUUAGCAUGUGCUAGGGUCACAUGAAUCUAAUAGGCAAUUUGAAAACAGAGAAGUGAUGAUUUGCUAUUUAAUAAAACCCAACCAAACAAAUAAAUUCUUCUAAUGGACUAACAAUUGUUCUUUUUUUUUUGGUUAGAAAUGCAUGAUUUAUUACUAAACUGCUGACAGACAUAUUACAAAUUUUCUAGUAUCAUUUUGCGGUGCAUAUUUCAUGACAUUGAUUGUUUGAGAUAUUUCUGAUGCUUAGUUACUUUACUUAGGCUAUGGAAAUGCUUUGUGCAAAAUGUUUUAUUAACAAAACACAGAAAAUAAAUGUUUUUCAUGCCAUUUCCUGUUGUGUACGAAUAUAUAGAUAAAGAAUGAUUGCAAGGGAAAAGAUGAGGUGUGGUUUACAAAUGGAACAGAAAACUUUGAAUAGCUGAGGGAAGUAUCAUUCUUUUAGUCAUGGUUAAAAUGCGUGUCUGUGUGCAUAUGAUUCUACAGGCUGCUUUAUUUGUUUUGAUCUUACAUCAUUUCAUCUUCGGAAGAGCUCCUCUUUGCUCAUUUAUAUUCUUAGCUUCUCUUAACUUGAUAUAUUAAAUUAUAAAGCUGUAAAUACAAAGUACUAGGUAAUACAAAGUAGUAGGUAAGCUCCUUGAUGAUAAGUUUCCCCCCGCCCUUCUCUUUUUUCCUUUUGAUGUAUGGUUAGCUUGACCUUUGUCUCUCUAAUAUCUGCAAAUUAUAGGGCGGGAAGAGCACCUUGGAGAAUUGUCAAGUUUUGCAGGUAAGCAUGGUAUUCUUUUUCCCAGUGUGUUGACUGUUUCUCUCUCUUUUCCUAUAUUCUUCAUAUUGGAAACUUUUAAAGUUGAAUGAUUAUCAUAUCACUGUUAUGAUGACUUGUUUAGUUUAAAUUUCGUUAGACAUAGUUGGAACGAGUUGGUACAUAAAAUUGUUUCUUAUCUUUGAUGAUAUUUUUUACUGAAAUGUUAUAUUUCAUGAACUAGCAACAGAAUCAGUCAGACUAAAAUUACUCCUUUACGGGUAUUUUUAUUUAAAGUUUAAGCUAAAGCAGGUGACCAUACAUAAAUCCUUUCUCUUUUUUGCAAAAUAUUAAUGUAUCAGAGAUCUUGGAUAGUUAACCCAAGAUAUAUCUAUAUAUCUAUAUCUAUAUAUAUAUAUAUAUAACAUAGUAAGUAAUGUUUAGUUAGCUUUAUUAUGAAACAAAUGCAUAAAAAAUAUAUGAUGAAACUACAACUUUGACGGCUGGCUUGUUUAGUUUUAUUUCCUCUAAUCUACUCGUCACAUAAAUUCCUAUAACAAAAUCCACUUAUGAGAGUCCUGCUUUAGUGAUGGAAGAGUAAUAAUUACUAGAACAUCCUGGAAUCUUCCCUGGCAUUUUUUCAAAGCUCAUUUUGGAGGAAACGUGUUAUAGUCAUCUGAAAAUGGUGAUGUAGCCUGCUUCCUUCCAAAAACAAAUAAAAUAAAAUAAAAAAUAAAAAUAAAACAAAAUAGAAAAAGCCCAUAUUCAUUUUGCUAUGUGCUGGCCAACAGUUGAACAAGGGGCCGUCGGAGCUGUACUGGUAGUGGGGCGCGCUGUUUUUUUAUGGAAUAUAAAAUAAAAAUAAAAAUAAAACAAAAUAGAAAAAGCCCAUAUUCAUUUUGCUAUGUGCUGGCCAACGGUUGAACUAUGGGCCGUAGGAGCUGUACUGGUAGUGGGGCGCGCUGUGUUUUUUGAUGGAAUAUGGUUCCCUGCUUCUAAUAUUCGAUGUAGUGGUAGCUACAAAAACUGAUGCUGAAGUUCUUUUUUUUUGGGUAAGAUUUUUGUUGUGCCUCUCCUGUGCUUAUGUCUUUAUUCAGAUGAGAUAGAAGAAGGGAAGAAAUGAGAAACAGAACUUUAUUAUCAGAAAUUUGCUGUAGAUACAACUAGGUAUUCAGAGGCCAUACAAAAGUUUUAUUUUCAAAUUAUACAUUGUUCUGAUUUUGUAGGGAAUCCAGGAUCAAGUAGUACAUCUUUUAAAAACUCAGCUAGUUGAGGGGUCUCUUCCAUAAUUAACCGUAACAGCGUUGGUGUACUUUAAUCUGAUUGUGUCCUUUUUUAUGCUUUGAUGUUGAUGCUUGACUGUUCUGGUGUAAUAAAUUUCUGAUUAUUUUCAAACAUCCAUUAAUGGAAUGUGGCAAUUAGAAAGUCUUUGCUGUUUAAUUAUGUAUAAUCAGUAUAAUACAUGCACAGUUAUUUUUUCUGUACUCAGUAAUGUUAUCUGCAUUAUAGAUUAUAUGAGCAUUUUCACCUGUUGCUUCCCACUUAAAUUUGGUUGACAAUUAAUUAAGUUUUUUCUCUCAUGUUCAGGCAACUGUUAAUCGAUCUAAGGGAAAUAAGACAGAGAUAUCCAAAUCCGACCUCAUACAAAAGAGCGCAUAUUGUAGGGUUUCAGGUACUUGAAGGUUUUACUAAAAAGCUGUUUAUCAAAUUUAUAUGCAGGAUUAAAGUACAAUAUGACAUGCUUUUCUAACUUGAUUGGUAAUGUUGGAGCUUCUAACAACCACAGGACGAGAUAUGGAUCUUAUAGAACUCUCCGCAUAUGGUAAUGUCCGUCGUGCAUCGGACUCAGGGGGUUGCAACAUCCAAUGACAAAAACAGCAGUAUCUGAAAAGUGCCGAACAAUAGUAUAAAACAACCAUGUGAUCCAUGGAAUUUGUAGCCCUAAUAACGUAUUUACUUAUGUAGUUGGAAAAUCUUAUGUUUGGUGUCUCUAAAAUGUGCAAUUUUUAGUGCCAAAAUAUUUUAUAUGUAAAAUCUGUCCUUGGGAUUAGACCGUAAUCCAACUGAUUUAUGUUAUAAGCUAGUGUUUUAUUUUUUUUGUUGACCACUUGAUGCAUGGACUAGGGGCCUCCAAAUUACAUAAUCUUUUGUGUAUAAGCAAGUUGCUGGUAGUAGAUUACAUGCAAUGCUUGGAUCAUCCAUGUGAGACCCCCAUCAUCCAAUCUAAACUUAACCGGAUCUGAGUGGAGAUCUGCUUGAAUGUAGCUAAGUGUUUCUAUAUAUGCGUGCAUGCGCAUGAAGAUACGUAUGUUUGUAUGUACAUAUGUAUGCCAUGCAUGCACACAGUGAUGCUUUGUAAGGGUAUGAUAGUGUGUCUUAGAAUGCAUCAGCACUGAAGAAGAAUACCUUAAUGCGUAGCAUAUUUUAGGAUAAGUAAAUUGUUUAUGAGUAUCAGAUCACUUGCUUUAUUUCAUGAAAUCUUUGUACUAAAAACUUCAGUUAAAGAAUAUCAUCCACCAUACUGUUGAAAGUUCUAAACAGAGAACCUUAUCAGCAACACCAUUUUUUUAAUUUGACUAAUCUAGAUGUACACUGUUACAUGUUUGUAAACACAAGUGUAACAAGUGUUCCAUCUUCAUUUUUUGAUGGAAAUCAAACUUUUGACCUUCCCUUUCUGAUGAAUCUUCCACCAUACAUGCCACUGCAUAUUGACAAUCUUCUCAACUAAAUUGUUAGUUGCAUAUUCCUUCUUUUUUCUGGGAGUAUGGGAUCAUCUCCCCAUUUCAUUUGUGGCUUUGCCAGCUCUGAAGGCUCAAUAUUAUCUGGCUCAUUCAUCUGAUGAUUGUCAAGCAUAACUAUUCAGAAGCUUAGAGGAAUGCCUCGCCCGCAUGAUCAUUGAUUCCAUUCAUUUUGAAUUAUGUUAGAUGCUUUGAUCAUGUUUCGUCGAAAGUGGUUGCUUCUAGCAGACCUACAAAUCCAUUGUUCUGAGCUUGAUUUCUGACAAUCUCUCCUGUAUUAGUGCCAGAAGGACUGUGCUUGCAUCACUUCCUAAGUCUUCUUCCUUCACAUUCAUCUACCAAGCCCUUCAUCCAUGCAGUUAUUCAUCUUUCUCUAACUUUAACACGAUAGUUGAUGUAUUAAAGUUUUGUAGGCUGGUGAGCAGUAUCGACACUAAAAACUUUAUCCCAUUAAUUAGCUAAUUGUUUUAUUUGCGUUGCUCGGUGAUGCUGUACAUGUGAUGCCUCCCUGUUAUUUCUUCUCACGGCCAAUGGUGGAAACAUGCUGGACUUUUGUGAGGCUUCUUAUAAUGAUAACCAUCAAUGAUACGGCAAUAAGUUGUGAUUGAUUUAUGUCAGUUUUUGCUGAUCAUGCUUGCCAUGAGCUGCAUUCUUUGCCAAUGUUUCAAGUCAUCGGCUAUCACCAUAAGCUCCUCUAGAUCCUUGCACACAGAUACUAUUUAUUUCAUAUGAACCCCUCUUCUUUUCCCUUCCUGUUUUUUUGGGUACGAAGGAGGGUUCUGAGAACAUAAAAGUUAAAAACAGCAUACAGAAGUACAAAUAAAUUACAAACAGGUAACAUGUAGACAAUUGAAUAUACAAUUGAAGCCCUUGUCUUACAAAACAUACCUUUUAGGUUUUUGCUGCGCAUGGCCACAAUUUUAGCCCGUUGUUCGAAUUGCGUAAUUGUUACAUUUCAUUAGAAAUAUCUUCUCACUUCUCUCAUGCAUCCUUUUAGCAUUGUCAUCUCAGUCAAGAACAUUUUACAUAGAAUAUUUGCAGGGUUAAACACUUUGAGUCUCAGAGCAUUUCUUUGAUUCUUUUUUCUUUCAUUCAGGUUGAUUAACACACCAUCUGCAAAUUAUGCGGGUGAGAAAUGGAUAUGUCACAACUUUUGGCUUUACUUGAGGAUUUUAAAAUUAUAGCAUAAUUGUGAUAUAUAAAAGUGAAUGCCUAGUUUCAAAAAAUUAAAAUAAAAUAGGCCUUUUUUUAUAUGUAUCCUUGCAAAAAUGGUUUAUCGUAUGUUUAUCUUCAAAAAAGUUAUUAUUUCGAUAUAUACUUCUUAAUUUUGUUUUUUGUUUUUGUAAAAUUAUCCCUUCCACUAAUUUUUGACUAAUGGUGUUAAUAAAUAAUUAUGUAUAAAAAUAAUAUUAGCCUUUUUAUAUUAAUUCAUCUAAAAAUUUAUUAAAAAAUAGAGAAUAAUAUUUUGUACACCUAAAGUGGUUAUUUGUAAUAUUGUUAGUCAAAAAAAUCUAAUGGGAGAAGUAUCAUUGCAAAAAUAUGAUGAUUUGAGAAGUCAUAUGCAUGGCAGCGUGCUUCAUUUAGGUGAUCGGAUUUAGGGUUUCUGAGGAGAUUGGUUUGGCUAAGAUCUGUCUUCUUCAUCAAUUAUAGUCUUUAUUUGAUUUUGAAAAUCAUUGGGGAAACAAAGUAGGAGGAGAGUGGAGAUGGAGAAGAGGGGAGGAAUACUUUGGAUCCAAACUUUUCUUCUUCUUAGAAUUAGAAGUUCAAUACACAUCUCUUUCUAAAUCUUUCUCGCUUCAAGCAAACAAUACAGAACAAACAAUUGUAUUACAUUAUAUUCUCUUGCUUAGAAUAUGGUGCAUAACAUUAUGUAACUAUAUAGAGAAAUUGCUCGAAUAAAAAAUUGACCCACUUAAUAAAGUAGUUGGACUCUUGCAAUAUAAGAUAAAUUGUACCACUUGGGUGCAAGUCAAGUUUCUUAGGAUGUUUUGAAUUUAAUUGCCAUAAUUAUGAGUAACUGCAUUUGAAUCUCUUUCCUUUACAUUAACCCUUAGUACCUUUUUGAUCCUCUACUAGGUAUCAUGAUUCUCACAUGCAAUUCUAUUUUGAUCCUCUACUAGGUAUCAUGAUUUUUGAAUUUUUGAUGUGCACAAGCACAAUGAGUAUCACUGUUGUGGCCCUAAUGAAUAAAGAAGUGCCAACACACUAAGCAAUUAUAUGCCAUGUCACAUAUUUUGGAGCUUAAUUAGCAUUGCUCUUGGCUAGUUUCAAAAGGUAGGUGAUAUCAUGAUGAAGGCAACAUCAUAAGGACCGAGAUGAGCACGUAAGUUUGUUGUAGUAAAUUUCAAGAAUAUUGAGCUAGACAAUACUACCACCUUGCCCUACUCCUUAUGAGAAUUUGCAUGAUAUAAAAUCUUGCAGUAAGAUUGCCUGUCUAUAAGAUUGUUCCUCACAAAGCUUAAAAUAAUUAGAGGAGAGAGAGAUGAUACAGAAGUGUUAGUGUCAAAUUCUUUCUCUCUUUGGAGUUUGCUUGAUAAUCAAAAAGGCAUACAUGCUGAUAUUGUCAAGUUCCAUUUUUUCCUGCAAAUUAUGUGAUAGUGAAGGUGCACGCUCCCUUUUCAUUAGAGAAAUAAAGCCUCUGAAGCUCCAAUCAGUAUCUUGGAUUUGCUCUCAUGAUAGUAUACUUGAAUAUCAAACCAUUAACCUCAACUUCUAAAUUAGCUGAAAGGCCAAAUGCUAUCUUGUAGAGAAAUUGCAUGUAGAUCCCAAAGACCGACACUAACAUCUUCUUGAGUUUGGCUUGAGAUUGAUGCCACUAGGCACGGUUCUGACCACAGGAACAUAAGCUAACAAAUGAUUUAAAGUUUCGAGUUACAUUUAUAUCCUAUGAAUGAUUCUCCACAAUAGUUGUCUGGGAGAACAACUUGGCACCUUCAUGGGCGUGAAUUUGUGAUGGUACAUACACGGUUGUAACUUGUUCCUCCCAUCUUUGUUAUUAGAGCCUCAAGCUUGGCCUGAUUUUAGACCCAGCCAUGAUUUUAACACGAGCUCAACCUAACGCAUAGAAAUAUUAGACCAACCUUCUUAUAAUGCCGGUUGGCUCGAGCGUGCCAUUGUACUACCCUGGCUCAACAUGCAUCUCUAACUCGCAUAUUGGACUCCAUAGCUUUUCCAUUACAUAUGGAGUAGAGUUUGCGAGGGAAAUAAAGCACCUAAAGUGUAGAAAGAAUGUCCAAUUAAUUGAAAUAAUACCGGGGCUUUGUAUAUUUUUUGCUAAAAAAUAGAAUGAGCCGUAAUUAGGUACGAUCAAGCAAACUUUGAACUCUAACCUUAGGCUUGAAAUUCAACUCAAUGGCACCCCUAGUCUUAGAUUGAGCUUGAAUAUAAUUUUUUCCAAGUCUAAAUACCUGGUUCAAUUUCAAGCUAAGAUCAAAUAACGGUACUCAAAAAAAAAAAAAAAAGUUUCGCCCCACCCAAUGCUUUGUUGACCUAGACGAGCAUCAAGUUGCGCAUGCUUUUUGGGAGGCGAAAAUGGCUGCAGACUGAGUCGCCUCCUAUGUUGCACGAUAUUGCGAGGAGUUCUUGUGGACGUCCAUAGCAAAGCUUCCGUCCCCAUGUACUCUUUACGUUUUUUUGAUUUAGUAGGAUGUACUCACAAUAGGCUAUAUGCGCUGCCGUUUUAAAAAAAAAAAACACAUCCCCCCAAUAAUCGUUUACCUACAUCGAAUCAAUCAAAUCACGACCGUACAAAGGAUGUAUCAUGAACCGUCCAACUUAAACGGUUCUGAUCAUCCCAACCUUUCCUUGCACGUCUGUCUUCCGUACAACCCCCCCUCAGCCCCCCGGCGGCCGACGAUAUAAAAUCCCUCACGUGAGGGAGGGGAUAACCUCGAGUACGCUUCGCCACCAACGUCACCACCGCUUCUCCCGUUCGAGAUCGGAGGGCGAGAAAGGGGGUUUUGGUCCUCCGCUUCCAUCUAGGGUUCUGGUUCUCGCGAUCGAGAACCCUUCUCGGAACUCUAGCUCGUGGAUCCCUCGCCGAUCCAUGGGCUUCUGCUCUCCCCACCGGCUCGAUAUCUUCGAGAUCUACGCGAGAUACUGCGGUGAGCGGCUGGACGCCUCUUCUUGUCUCGACUUCUUCUCCUUUUCUUGCUAUCAUUUCUUUUUCGGGAUUGGAUUUGGUUUUGCUUUUCUUUUUGUUUGAUGUUCCCGGAAUUUGAACGAGCGUGCGGUGUUUUGGAUGGUUUUGUUGCGAAUCUUGCUUCUUGAUGAAGAAAUUGGUGCCCUUGUUGGGCCGGUGGAGGUGCGUUAGGGCUUUGGGUACUCUUGGGGCUGUACUUGAUGUGUAGAGGUGGAAAGUUCAUGUCUUGGAGAUGUGGGUUGUGUAGAGGAGGUUUGAUGAUUAAGUGGAGCAAUACAAGAUGCAAUUUAGUGUUUGACAUGCUAACUUUUGUUGAUGAGAACUUGAAAUGGAACAGUGCGGGUUGAUAGGUUGAUGAAGGAUUUUUGGGCAACUUGGUUGAGGAACCACAUUUAUAUUUUAAGCCACAACAAUCCUGAUUGAGUUAUUCACGGAAAACAAAUUGGUUUUUUGGAGGGUUUAUUGGCUUCUUUAUGCUGUCAAACAUAAAAGAAUUUGAUAGAUUUUUAGUCAAUUAAAUAUAUUAUAUAGGUGGCCUGAAUUUAAGUGGAUUACUAAAAUUUCCACUUUCAAGAACAACAGCUAUCAGUAAUUGAAGCCAGGAAUGAGCAAGUCUUAUUUAAGUAGCUUCUUCGUGUUCUACAGCUCUAACCUCUUACAUUUAUAACCUGUAUGUUGGAUAUGACCUUUGACCUUUUGUUUUAUAUAUUUUUAUACUGUCUAUAUGCAAUGCUGCCACCCAAUUGUCACUAUUUUUUUUGGAUAUUAAGUGAAGUACAAGAUUUGGAGUCUUUCAUUUUUCAUGUUGAGCUUAGAAGACAUUAUUUUAUAUAAAUCAAUUGUUUUUGCUGUCAUACUGUGAAGCAUGCUUUUUUGUCGUGAAACACAGGUUUGAGAGCAGUAGUUAUAUGUCUUGAUGGGUAAUGCUGGAGCCCAAUUAUAAUUCAUGUGUGGAUGCAUCCAAACGCCUGUUUUCUCUUUUAUUGUGUCAUAUCAAUUUGACUUGAUCAUGUGCAUCCUAUAUUCCCAUACAAUGUCGGAACACUAAAAAUUGUUGUUGAGGCAUUUCAUUUCUUACUGAAUUUUUUCUUGAUUUUAUUCAACUAUAGAUAUUUUAUCAAGAAAUGACCAUGCUACCUCAAAGGAAUUGUUGGCUGUGCUUUCCAAAUCAUUGGAGUGUAGAGGGCAAGCAGGGUAUGUCCUUUUGUUGGGAUAUGUAUAAUCUUCAACAUUUAAAAAUUGCCUAACUUAUUUACAUAUUCAUUUUUUACAUCUACAUUUUGUAAGCUCUUAAAUGAGGAGACCAAGCCUUUGCACUGUUUGAGCAUGUUUUUAUGUGUACAUGAUCAAAUGUACGUGCCCAUGUGCAUAGUAGGUAGCCAUGUGACAAACUUAUUUAUAACUUGGGUGGUCAUUUUCAUCACACCACGCUCAACAUAGGUCCAGCAUGGGAACCUGAGCUAUUCAAUAAAAUGCCCUUUAUGCUGUUCAACACCAGAAAUUUUGCCGAGUGAAAGACCUAGAUCAUCAGUCGCUACUUCUGUUUUAAAUUUCAAAGAGGUAUCAUGAUAAAUGAUCAAGCGUAAUAACCACAUAUUAACCAGUGCAAGUUUUGCUGUAUACAGUCUAGUCAGUAGUGUUGAUACAGGGCCUUAUUGGAAUCCAAGCUGGUCGAUGGAUGACGAUGCAGCCCAUAAGCAUGUUUUGUGUUAGAAUUAUUAUACUUAUCUCUUCCUUCCAUUGUCUUUGUUCCCGUAUACUAUUUUUUGAUGUCGGCAUGCAUACACAUGCACCUUUGUUCUUUGCAUAGCUUAGAUAUCACUGGGUCUAUUGUGGCACUAGCUCUUGCAGAAGCUUUUCCCCCUUUCUUUCACUAUCUCAUCAUGAUCUUUGGUUUUCAGGGAGGCAAUUUAUAAUGACCUUUACAAGCUUAUUUCAUGCCUUGACUUGUCUGUGAGUGUUAAUUAUUUUGUUAUGUUUCUUGGAAGACUAUCAAGCUUGUAGUUAAUUUGCUGGGUUUUAAUUUGCUACCUACUCUUACUGUACCUAUAAAAAAUUCAUUACUGGUUAUUAUAUUGCAGGUGGAUUCUCGUAAUUUCAAUUGCUUCUAUGAUUUUGUCUUCUUCUUUUGCCGUGAAAAUGGGCAGAAGAACAUCAGUAAGAUUAUUUCUUAGAUCCUUUUUUUAAGCAAAAAGAAAAAUAACCAAGCUAAUGUUCAAUUUAUGUUCCUUUGUUAUCUUAAUUAGUAUUUAUGUGUUUUCAAAUAUUUUACAGCUGUACAUAGGGCCAUAAGUGCCUGGAGAUUAGUUUUGAAUGGAAGGUUUCGAUUGCUUAAUCAAUGGUGUAACUUUGUUCAGGUAUGAAAAUUUUAAAUGCUUGAUGAAGGCAUGAGCACUCUUCAGCUGCUUUUCUUCAGUUAGUCCUUGGUGACAGCUGUAAAAUUUACCCUGGUUUCUUAUACAUCUGAGCUUAUAUAUGUUCUUUUAACUUUUUGGGUCACUUGACUACCUUCUUGUCAUCACUGCUUCCAUAUAAAAUUUUCUACAAAAAUUGGGGACAUCUGAUUGAGUUUCUGCCGUAAGGACCGGUGUGAAAUUUUCAGCCCAGUUGAUUUUUUAAGAAAAUCGAUGUUUGAAUAAAAUCAAACAGAAAACCUUUUAUUAAAAAAGUAUUUCCUGUAACUAACUUCCAUUAUCUUCAGAAUUAUAUGUUCUGUUAAUGGAAUAUUCGAAUGCACUUUGUAAGUUUUGGCAUGAGUUUCUACCAUCCUACCACAUAUUCUUAUAGGAAAACUUUAAUUGAAAUCCAUUUGGGAAAAUAUUUUAACUGGAAAUACUUAGGGUUAUUGUCCAACAUUUAAUUAUUGAUUGAAGUGGAUGUAGAGUUGAUGGAUUAUUUGAAAGAGUUUGAGAAUUUCUGUCACGAGAUUAUAUUGCAUUACCGGUUUUGGAAAAAGCAACCGCAUGGAAUUGUUGGAAGAAAACAUACUAGAGGGUCUUGUUUACAAAGGGACUGCCAGAUAUCACUCUAUUGAUUCAUACACAUUUGUAGAGUCUCUACUAAAGUUGCAAAAUGUUGAUCCGUUGGAGCGGUAAUAUGAACAGAUAAGUCUACCUCAUUUUCUUUAUAUUUGUAAGUUUACUAUAGAGUUGCUCAGCGGGCGGGCUGGGUUGGGCUUGAUUCGGGCCGGCUUGGCCUAAGGUGCCAUGUCAUUUAGUUAGGCUCGACUCAGCCUUUAGGCUUACUUCCUAGACCCGAGCCCACUACUUAUCGGUUUCUUCUGGGCUAGGCCCUCGGGCCUCCUUGUUUUGGCUCAUUAGCUUGGGAGGAGGGGUUGCGAGAGAUGGCGGCCAUGUGGAGGGCGGAGGCGCCAAGGAAAGUGUUGAGCUCGACGAUGGUGAGGGGGCGAACCGAUUUGAUGAUGUCGCAGAAGACGAGGUUGGUGGAGCCCUAGUUGAGGGUGCGGUUGGCGGUAGGUAAAGAAGCGGGAGGAGUUCGUGCGGCGGCAGAGGCAAAGGCGGAUGCGGCGACGAUGUGGAGGCAAGCACCCAAGAUUAUCCCCAUCAAAGACCCAAGCUAAAAGCUCUGGCCAUUCUUCCGCCACCAAUGACCUCUUCAUCGUCAACAAAAAAUUUUCAAAUCGUGUCCCCUUUCAAACCUAGUGUUCAGACUUUCAGAGUCUCGAUGGUGGCAGCGACACCGACACCGACAGCGGAGAUGAUGAAGGCCAAUAUGAGUCCACGAGCUUAGUGGCCCUGAGGAGCUCUGCUUUUCCUUGUUAAAUUGGUCUCUACUAUUUUCCAAUCAACGACGUCGGGGAGGGGGGUUGGUUUGGAGCGGUGGUGGGGGCAGGGAGGGGAGGAGGGCGAGAGGUGGGGGAGGGGUUUGAGGGAGUGGUGGGAGAGGGAUUGGGGAGGAGAUGGGAGGAUGGGUGGGCACGCAGAGGGAGGAGAGGGCGACAAAGAUGAGGUGAAGAUGAUGCGGAUUGAGGAAGAUGAUAUUUUAUAUUAUAUUUUCUAUUAUGUAAUAUAAAAUAUAAUAUAAUAUAUAAUAUAUAUUAUAUUAUAUAAAUAUUGGGUUCGGGUUGGGCUUAGAUCAGGUCGACGUAAAUCAAAAUUCGGCUUGUUUAAUGGGUGGGCUCAAAUUUCAGGCCCGACCUGAUCCUCUAGGCUUAAAAACUAGGCCCAAGCUCGUCUAAAAUGGUCUGGGCUUGAGCGGGCUUGGCGAAUCGUCCGGUAUUUGACCGGCUCUAGUUUUAGUAUUGAUUGAUCCGAUUAAGGGGAGGAAUAGUCCCUCAACCCCUCAAGUCGAAUCUAUCAAAAAUAAUGAAAAAAUGGAAAAGAUUGGCGAAAGUGGGGUUUACGUCCUUUUUUGCUUUCAUUGAUGAUUCAUAAAUUGAAAUACAUAAUCUCUAUUUGUAAUAGUGAGGUCUAUAUUUGCACACUUCUAGUUGGAUUCCUCUUAGACAUGAUUUGUAGAAAUAAGGUCGAAAAAGCUAAAAUCUUAUAGAAGAUAGAUUUCGACUCCUCCAUCAAUUUUGCCUACUAUCACUCUACCUAAUUCUUCUUGUAUUAUGAGAUAUGUCUGGUCAAAGUCUUUUUUAAAAAAAAUUCGGUUUGACCGACCCAUUUUCGAACCCAAAUGAUGGAAUUUGUAUCUAUUUGUUAGUUGUGCUGCACUCUUUAGGGGGUGGCGUGAUGUGGUAAAUCUCGAAAAAUUAUCAAAUUUAAAAAAGAUCAUCUCAAUUGGGCGUUGUAUGGCUAAUUUGUGGCUUCCGGAAGUUUGGCACAUGUUUCGGCUUCCAAUGUGGCGGAUGUCGCUCAUGUACCUUAUCCAGCCCUACUUGCAGUGGCUAAAGUGAUCACAUCAAGUUUGAUGAUCUGUUGAUGUGGAUCUCUUGGAUUAGGGCUUCCUCUAUUUGGGGGGAUUUAGCUCUUGCUACAUCAGAGUUGAAGGUAGGGAAACACCUGCUUCCCCAUCUUGCGGUUAAACCACUUAACUUUGUUUGAAGAUGAUUUCCAGCUUUGAUCUUCUUUGCCUUUGGAUCCCAGUGAACCACGCUCCUCACUUUCGCAUUUAGACUUCACGGUAGGGAUGCUUCUCACUAUUCAUCCUUGCUGAUGAUGACUACAUUGACUUCUCCUCGAUCUUAAUCUUGGUCAAUCAAUAUGUGGAACCAAGGGGCAAGAUCUUGGUCCAUCAAGAGUGCUCAUUGGAGACAGAGAAAGCAGAAGCUAGACCAUCAGGAAAGGGCAUAGGAAGCUUGCCGCAAUACAUUAACAGAUAGCAUUUCGUGCUCAUCCGCAGAAAAAGGCAUAUAAAAAGUCCAAUCCGACAUCGGUUUCUUGUAUCAUCAUCACAAAUUUAUUGCAGGCAUUAACAAGUCGCUCCGCCUAUACAGCAGUUGCAAGGUCUAUAUAUCCUUGCAUUCUAAAAGCAUUGAUCAUGAACUCCUUCCCAUCUUUUACGAGAUGAUACUUCUUCUACCAUCCAUAGAAGACUGCAUCUUGAUCCCAUACGUAUGAACUCCUAAGGAUGACUUGGCAUACAUCCAAAGAACUACUUCACAUAUCACCUCAUCAAUGUACCUUUCAUAAGAUUUGCUAUUAGCUAUUAAUCAUUUGAAAAUUAGUAAUAGACUUUUAAAAUUGAAUGUGAAAUUUUACAGUGAUUUACAAUGUUGAAAUGUUUCCAUUCUCUAGUCAGUAGCAUCUGAGUUAUGUUCUAAAUUCUGUAAUAAAUCCUGAUAGCUUUUGAUAAAAAAGGAGAGAUGCAUACGGAUACACAGAGACAAACAUACGUAUUGUUGGCCUGUUAAUCUGGGACCCCAAAACAAUUAAGUUUGCUAAACACCUUUUUUAUUUAUUCAUUUAUGUCUUUAUUUUAUUAUUAUUAUUUUUUUGAACUUAGGAACAUCAACGUCAUAAUAUAUCUGAGGAUACAUGGCAACAACUCCUGGCCUUUAGCCGAUGUGUAAACGAAGAUCUUGAAGGUUAUGAUCCGAAAGGUAAUCAUGAAGUGUUAAAUUGUCAUAAGUUGUCUCUUAAUGUGAUAUGCUAUCAGAACAUCCUAAAGCAUGAUUAAACUCCUUUGUUUUUUUGCUAGGUGCCUGGCCUGUUCUGAUUGAUGACUUUGUUGAGCAUAUGUACAGGUUUGUCUUCCUUCUCCAAUUGAUGACUUUGUCUUCCUUCUCCAAUGAACUUUGUAUGAUGUGGUGAAUGCCAUAUAGACUUCCUUCUACAAUACCACCUUUAAUGAUUUUUAUUUUUUACUUACACUAGUUUAAUUGUUAAUGCUAUUUAUCUGGAGCUAUUGCUGCCUAGGAUGGGACUUAAACAGAGUAUCCUUUGCCUUAUUUUGUUUCACAUGGCUUGAAAAAUUAUAUAUCAUCAAGCAAAAUCUUACAUCUGACACAGUAUAUCAACCCCUAUCACGAGCAACUAAAUUUGUCUGGGAAAAUCCGCAGAAGAGAGAUUAUGUAUUUACAGAGCAAUUCUUUGGAUUUUGAAUUGCUGUGAACUUCAGCCGAAAAAAUCUUGACAUUAAAGUGUGUUGAACUUGAUUGUUUCAAAGAAAUGAAAAUCCUAUAUACUUUGACUUACUGCAGGCUUGCAUUGUUUUAUGUCAGAGCUUUUUCAUGAGAAUAGGUCCAAUUUUUUGUACUGAGAAUUCUAACUUCCAUCAAAUGAAACAGAAGACAAAGCAUAUAGUUCAUCCUGAAAGUGUUUGUGAGUUGUUAGAACAUCAACACAAAUGCAAUCUAUAUUUGAUACAGAAUGAGUUGCCAUCAAUACAAGCUGCUAGCUUUGUAUGCAUCUGUUGCUUGUCUGCUAUGCUUUUUGUCUGCCAUCCAAUAGUUGUAAUCAUGGUAUGCUGUACCGGUCGGUACCAGACGUACCGUACCUAUAUCGAUGGGUACCGGUAUUGGUGCGCCAAUGUUGGUAUGCCUGACGUACCGCGUACCGUACCGUACCGACAUUCGGUACGACUAUACUAGUGCGGCACCGGUACGGGGUUCGGCAUCGGUACGGCGAACCUUGGUCGUAAUACUUUAUUUAAUAUGCAUAUGAAUGUGAGUCUAUUAUUAUAAGAGCGCUUUGAAAUUGUAAAAUGACCAAAAUACCUUUAUGUAUAGUUGGUGUUUAAGGGUCUUAAGAUAAUUGCAUAGUUUGGUCUGUAUGCAGUGUUGUUAUAGAAAUAUUAAGGGGCUUGAUAUGGGAAGCCAUUAUAUUAACUGUGUCCAGGAGAUUAGGAUCAUGCAUAUACAUUUGAUUAUGUGUAAAUAUGGAGGUUAGAUUUAGGCUCAUACUGGAAUCUCUAAUGAUAUCCAAAACCAUUUUUGAUACUUACAAAACAACCAUUUGAGGUUAGUAUGAAGACACAAGCCUGAGCCUUCAUUCAGUAAAAUGCAAAUACGCUUCCAAGUAUUUGGGAUAUUUGCAUGGUUAAUACUCAAUAGUUAUAUGCAUUGGGCAAGUAUUGUAACCCAUUUGAUUUAACCUUGCCUAUUUGAAUUAACAGAUCAACUUGCUAUCGGACAUUUUUUUUCGAUUUGACAUGACACUAUUCCAAAAAAAAAUUCGACAUAUCUCACUUUAUUAUGAUUAUGAGAAUCGAUCCUACUCCUUCUAGUCCUAUGGUUUCCACACUUGAAGAAAAAAACCUAGGGUAUCGCUCAAAUUAUUGGCCCAGUAUUGGAUCUCGUUUUUCUCCUGGGCAAAUGCCUAAUAUUUAUAAUUCUUUGGUAGGUAAGGGUCGAGAUACUGUCGGUAGCAAAUAAAUGUGACUUGUGGGGUACAACAAUUAUUAGAAAAUAAUUGAUAGACGAGAGAGGAAGAGGCAGUUGUUUCAUUUGUUGACCCGAAAGUAGGUACGACUCCAUAAUAAGAAGCGCAGGAAGCACAAAGAAAGGAUGGUGUAAGCUUGGUUAGCUAGAGCGUGAACAAAAGAUGCAAAGGCGAGGGCUAUGGCCAGAGCCCCCAUGGAUUGAUAUAGAACACCCCACACCCUAUUGUCGAUCUGCUAGCACCAUAAAGCGGGUACUGAGGCAUUUAAACCGAAGCUUUCUGCAAUUUGAUACUCAGGCUUUAGUAGCCGAUAGGAGGUGGACCAUAACUCGUUGACCAUGUAAAAAAAAUCUGAGGGCAAAGGCACCAUGGAAAGCAAAGGCUCAGGCUCAAAUGGUCAGAAAAAAAUGCACCGGGUUUCAGUGGUUUUCGGCUUGCUGCUUUUGAUGCAAAAAAGACAAAAUGGGAUUGGAUUUCCGAAGGGAAGGUUGGAUACCUGGUUGUAAUUUUGAUUGAAAUGGGAUAGUCUUCAAACUCCCGUGAUGCAGUCUAGACUAUGGGCUCUUCCCUUUCUGAUUGGAUUGACUCGGGGAAGGGUCAAUUUAACCUCCUCCUAAGUAUGCUUCACGGCCACUCAUUCAUCUUGACCAAAUAGUAGAAUCUAUCUUUCAAUGAUUUUUUUCUCCGCUAAUCACCCCUUCCUAACUAGCCCGCCCAAUCGAUCGUCGGUUGAUUGGUGAAUGAAUAGGGGUUGAGAAGGUUUGAAUUUGUCAAAACGUAUCGUUUGUUUUCUUUGUCAAUCAAAUGGAUCUUUUCGUUCUAAUACUCUAUCCGAGAGCUAUUCGUAUUUAUCAAAUAUGUUCUUAUCUAACGAAAAGACGUGAGCUGGGUUCAUAAUAUCGUGAGACAGUUCGGUCCAUGUCCAGUGCGGGUGUUAGAACAUGGAGAGGAUCUUUUUCUAGUACGAGAGGACCAGGAAGGACGCACCUUUGGUGUACCAGUUAUCGUGCCCUCGGUAAAUGCUAGAUGGUCAAGUGUGGAGCAGAUAACUGCUAAAAGUAUUUUUCUUAAGUAAAGUACUUUUUUUAAAAUGAAAAACUAGACUUUCCAGUUCUUAUGAACCGAACUCAUUGAAAUUUCAUCCUUUUCUUUUUGUCGGGCGUAUUUCUCAAAAUCCUCCAAGAUCACAAGCGGAAUGCUAAGCAAGGGAGGGGAGGCUACGAGCGGAGCAUCGAACAAAAAGAAGCAAGCAAGGGAGAGCAAACGUGUUGCUAGACCUUGUCAUUAUGAAAACUUCCCAAGCAUCACCAAAUUUCUUCAAUAAUAGCUCUUGUAUCCUAGGUCGGUUCGACAAGCUCAUUUAUCAUGUUGGCUAGAGUUAGCCAUAUGAUUAGCUCUCACUCUCUCCAAAAGUUCCUCUAGAAGAAAGUUUCUCCAUACAACGACAUUAGAAGAAGACCUUCGAAAAUUUGCUCUAGUCUGCAGCCUUAUUACAUUUCCUAUAUACAUGGUGACCUUGUCAUUAUGAAAAGCUUCACAAGCAACACCUAAUUUCCUCAAUAAUAGUUCUCGUAUCUCAGGUUGGUUCUACGAGCCCAUUUAUCAUGUUGGCUAGAGUUAGCCAUCUGAUCAACUCUCACUCGCUCUAGAAGUUCCUUCGGAAAAAGUUUCUCCAUACAACAACAUUAGAAGACCUCCGAAAAUUUCUUGUUCAGUUAGCUGCCUGAUUACAUUCCUUAUAGAUAUGGUGACCUUGUCAUUACAAAACCUUUCCAAGCAGCACCAAAUUUUCUCAAUAAUAGCUCUUGUAUCCCAGGUCGAUUCCAUGAGCCCAUUUAUCAUGUUCGGCUAGAGUUCACCAUUCGAUCAGCUUCACUUGCUCCAAAAAUUUCUCCAGAAAAAAGUUUCUCCAUCCAACAACAUUAGAAGAACUUCAAAAAUUUGCUAUCUAGUCAGCAGCAUGAUUAUAUUUUUCUAUAGACAUGGUGACCUCGUCAUUAUGAAAGC
rnacentral:lncRNA from 1 species